UUUUUUUUUGUCGUUGUUCCAUAAAAACACUUUGCUUCUAUUGCCAAAAUGACACGCCUUUAACCAUCCCUUUGACAAAAUACCCGACCUGUAGGACCCUCCAAUCAUAUUUUCUUGCGGACGAUUUUGCCCCUGCGAUGGUUUGCCCUGACCCUCUGCUAUCGGUCGAACUUAACCGGGAUCGAUCAGUGUCAGAGGCGCCUCCUCAUGCACGGCUCACUCAGCAUUUUUUCACUUUUUCAGGACCAACUGAACUUAACAAUGUGCAGCCAGUACCUUUUAUGCGUUGCCAAGAUAAAAAAUACAGNNNNNNNNNNNNNNNNNNNNNNNNNNNNNNNNNNNNNNNNNNNNNNNNNNNNNNNNNNNNNNNNNNNNNNNNNNNNNNNNNNNNNNNNNNNNNNNNNNNNNNNNNNNNNNNNNNNNNNNNNNNNNNNNNNNNNNNNNNNNNNNNNNNNNNNNNNNNNNNNNNNNNNNNNNNNNNNNNNNNNNNNNNNNNNNNNNNNNNNNNNNNNNNNNNNNNNNNNNNNNNNNNNNNNNNNNNNNNNNNNNNNNNNNNNNNNNNNNNNNNNNNNNNNNNNNNNNNNGGAGUAACAGUGUUCACUUAAUCAAACAGGGAGUAUCUGCAGGAGCACAAUUUCUAGGAGACUGCAGUAUAAUUGCCAUCUUUGACUGCAGUUUAUGAUUACUCCAGUUCAAAAUUAUGAUUACUGCAGUGCCGGCCGAGCUAACCUCGCUGCCAAAACGAAUUCUAAUGAGUAGUUGAACAACACUGCAUGCGAAUUCUCAUACUGGAAAGGAACACAGAAACUGGCAAGUCAAAUGUCAUGGAAAACUCCACACAGGAACACACAACACGCAACAAAUUCCAACUUCUACGUACAUACUUGGUACCUCCAACACAGCACAGCUACCUGCACAUUUCUGCUGGACGGUAUAAACCCUGAAGCUCUAAGCCUCUAAGGCACACACUUUCUCCUGGNNNNNNNNNNNNNNNNNNNNNNNNNNNNNNNNNNNNNNNNNNNNNNNNNNNNNNNNNNNNNNNNNNNNNNNNNNNNNNNNNNNNNNNNNNNNNNNNNNNNCCCUACAGGGGCCAUGUGAUGACGUCGUGCCAGAUCCGGAGGAUUUCUGACAUCAUACGGUUUUCCGUGGAUUCAAACGGUUGGACGAGUCAUGUCGUCGAAGUAAAUUCGCCACCUGAUGGCCGAAACUUCCCCUUCCUCGUCUGCAAAAGGGAGACGCAUCUCUCUAAUACAUCACAUAGGAUUUUCCAUGCCGCUUCUGGGAAUGAUUUCACGUGUCGCCUUGCAGAUCUGCAAUUUCCGGCACUGAAAUCCUAGAAAUGCAAUAAAUGUCUCAAAUAUUACAAACGGGCCAGGAAAAAGCGGGGGGCUCACACGUAUCAUUCGAUGGCCUCCUUUGAGAGCACGGAAAGUUUCGAGACCAACGGAGCAGUAGGAUCAACACUUCCUUCACAAAACUGACACCUUCCCUCUCAAUACCGAGAGACUACCACGGAGAUGGUGCGGUUUACAAACGGCCUCAUGUGAGGCCUAUUCGAAACGCGCCCACCACACCCUACAGNNNNNNNNNNNNNNNNNNNNNNNNNNNNNNNNNNNNNNNNNNNNNNNNNNNNNNNNNNNNNNNNNNNNNNNNNNNNNNNNNNNNNNNNNNNNNNNNNNNNAGCAUGCCAACUUUCAACAUUUUCAGAGUUCAUUUGUAGUGCUUUUCAGUUUCAGGGUCAACUAGCUCAAUACAAAUAAGUAAAUCCACGAAAUAUACCAAAUGAAGUCAGAAAUUGUUGAAAUUUUGUGCUGUGCCUUUGAAUGGUCCAUUUUGAACACACAAAAAGUAUGGAGUUCAAAUAAGUUCACAAAAAUCAAAUCCCUUUGUAAGAGAUGAGUUCUCGUUCGAAACCCUGAUACUUCGAGAGAGAUUGUCCGUUUUGUACACGAAGUGCAUCCAGUUUUUGUCGUAGCCCUCUCAACUUUUAACACAUGCUAUGUGGGUGAAAUGAUGAUAGCAUGCCAACUUUCAACAUUUUCAGAGUUCAUUUGUAGUGCUUUUCAAUUUCAAGGUCAACUAGCUCAAAAAAAAUAAGUAAAUCCACGAAAUAUACCAAAUGAAGUAAAAAAGUAUGGAGUUCAAAAAACCACAUUAUGAAAUUAAAUAUUAUCAUUGGCGAUUCAUCUCUAUUAUGAAAUCAAAUAUAUCAAAAAACCAUUGCAGAACAUAUGACCAAAUUAAUACAAGUUCAUCAUCACAUUAAAGCCAAAGAACAGUAGUGAUCAAAUGUUAUUAUUGCAAAAAAUAAAUACAUAAAAUUCUCUCAUAAAACAACAUACAACUAUGUAAAACAUUUAAAUGCAACAACAAACGCGAUCAAAAUCGCAACUAAGGUAACAAUUGACCCAACAGCAUAAUGAUACCAAGCCUCUUUAUCAAUGACAUAUUUUCUAAUAUUCCUAAUCUUCAAGCGCAUUUCAUCCAUCUUCAAGCGCAUUGCAUCCAUCUUCAACCGCAUCGCAUCGAUCUUCAUCUUGUGAUCAUCGAUGACAUCGGCGACAUGCCACUCCAGUUCCAUAUUCUUAUCCUCAAUUAUUUUCAAUUUUUUCUUCAAUUUUCUUUUUCAACCAAAUUUAACUUCUCGAUAAGAAUUUUUAUGUGGGUUGGAAUUUCCGGUUCACAUACCUCCUAGAUUAAAAAAAAUAUAUGUCAUAAUUGUCAUAAACACUAAAUAAAACAAAUAGUUAUAAAAGAUAAUAUAUACCACAUCCGAAUCAUAGAGAGGACGAGAGCCGACGGAGGCGGAUACCAAAACCAUCGCACUAUAUAAUAACAAAACAUAAUGAAAGUGAGUAAUUUAUACAAGUAUGUAUGUAAAUCAUACAAGUAAGAUUUUUUUAAUUUUAAAAAGAAGAUAAGAACAAGAGGCUCACCACGGUGGUGCUCGCAGUUGGUGCAUGCCAAACCUAGACAAAUAUUAAGGAAAAUGGAGCUUGGAGGUCGAGCUUGGAGAGGAGAAAGCUUAAGUAGAGUGGCUCGGGCAUUUCAUCGAACACGUCAUGUGCAUGAAAUAGAGUGGCAAGAGCAUGGCAUGGUCACACUUCAACAACCAAAAAACAGGGGAUAUGGUGGGCAGGGGCGAGGGUUUAUAUAGGCAAAACUUGAGUCCCGGUUCUUUCCAUGCCCCGGGACUAAAGGCCCCUACUUCCCGCCUUCUGGUCAGCCGAAAAAGGGCCUUUAGUCCCGGAUCGUGGCUCCACCCGGGACUAAAGGGGUGUCUUUAGUCCCGGUUCGAGCCNNNNNNNNNNNNNNNNNNNNNNNNNNNNNNNNNNNNNNNNNNNNNNNNNNNNNNNNNNNNNNNNNNNNNNNNNNNNNNNNNNNNNNNNNNNNNNNNNNNNUAUAACUCACUGACACCGGAGGAAUGCUUUGUGUGUAUCAAACGUCGCAACGUAACUGGGUGACUAUAAAGAUGCUCUACAGGUAUCUCCGAAGGUGUUAGUUGAGUUAGUAUGGAUCAAGACUGGGAUUUGUCACUCCGUGUGACGAAGAGGUAUCUCGGGGCCCACUCGGUAAUACAACAUCACACACAAGCCUUGCAAGCAAUGUAACUUAGUGUAAGUUGCGGGAUCUUGUAUUACGGAACGAGUAAAGAGACUUGCCGGUAAACGAGGUUGAAAUAGGUAUACGGAUUCUGACGAUCGAAUCUCGGGCAAGUAACAUACCGAAGGACAAAGGGAAUGACAUACGGGAUUAUACGAAUCCUUGGCACUGAGGUUCAAACGAUAAGAUCUUCGUAGAAUAUGUAGGAUCCAAUAUGGGCAUCCAGGUCCCGCUGUUGGAUAUUGACCGAGGAGUCUCUCGGGUCAUGUCUACAUAGUUCUCGAACCCGCAGGGUCUGCACACUUAAGGUUCGACAUUGUUUUAUGCGUAUUUGAGUUAUAUGGUUGGUUACCGAAUGUUGUUCGGAGUCCCGGAUGAGAUCACGGACGUCACGAGGAUUUCCGGAAUAGUCCGGAAACGAAGAUUGAUAUAUAGGAUGACCUCAUUUGAUUACCGGAAGGUUUUCGGAGUUACCGGGAAUGUACCGGGAAUGACGAAUGGGUUCCGGGAGUUCACCGGAGGGGGGCAACCCACUCCGAGGAAGCCCAUAGGUAUUUGGGGGGGUCACACCAGCCCUUAGUGGGCUGGUGGGACAGCCCACCAAUCCCCUAUGCGCCAAGAGAGAAAAAAUCAAAGGAAAGAAAAAAAAAAGGGAAAGAAGUGGGAAGGGGGAAGGACUCCCUCCCACCAAACCAAGUAGGACUCGGUUUGGGGGGGGAGAGUCCUCCCCCCUGGCUCGGCCGACCCCUUGGGGAUCCCUUGGACCCCAAGGCAAGGUCCCCCUCCCUCCUCCUAUAUAUAUGGGGCUUUUAGGGCAGAUUUGAGACGACUUUCUCACGGCUGCCCGACCACAUACCUCCAUAGUUUUUCCUCUAGAUCGUGUUUCUGCGGAGCUCGGGCGGAGCCCUGCUGAGACAAGAUCAUCACCAACCUCCGGAGCGCCGUCACGCUGCCGGAGAACUCUUCUACCUCUCCGUCUCUCUUGCUGGAUCAAAAAGGCCGAGAUCAUCGUCGAGUUGUACGUGUGCUGAACGCGGAGGUGCCGUCCGUUCGGUACUAGAUCGUGGGACUGAUCGCGGGAUUGUUCGCGGGGCGGAUCGAGGGACGUGAGGACGUUCCACUACAUAAACCGCGUUCUCUAACGCUUCUGCUCUACGAUCUACAAGGGUACGUAGAUCACUCAUCCCCUCUCGUAGAUGGACAUCACCAUGAUAGGUCUUCGUGCGCGUAGGAAAAAUUUUGUUUCCCAUGCGACGUUCCCCAACAGAAAUAAGUACCAGUACCUGAGAUUUUGAUGGUCUCUAGGAAUGUGAAAAUUAGAUACUUGUGACUGCUAUAAAGUCUAUGUUAGUGAAAUUCCAUCAUUUGAAUUUCANNNNNNNNNNNNNNNNNNNNNNNNNNNNNNNNNNNNNNNNNNNNNNNNNNNNNNNNNNNNNNNNNNNNNNNNNNNNNNNNNNNNNNNNNNNNNNNNNNNNUUGCUUCUUGAAUGUGUCAGCAGCAUUCUUAGGAAGCUUGGGUUCGCCCGUAGGCAUUAUCACCUCAAAGGUGUAAUGCGUCCGUGCAUCCAACUUUCUAGUCGGGCCUCGUUUCGUAGAUUUGCUCGAUGUGGAGGCCUAAGAGGGAGAAACAUUCGUAAAAUGAAUGUAUAUGUAUACAAUAUAGAGCUAUCUCCAAUAUUUUUCACAUAUUACAAGUGAUUGUCGAACUUCAUAUGUAUACCUCUCCGGAUUUUAUUAUUUCUUCACCGGCUUCUCCACCGGCUUCUCCAUCAGUGGAGCUAUCACCUUCUCCGUCAUUGGACCUAUCUCCUGCCUCAUCGGCUUCAUCUUCGUGUCGCUCGACCUCCAUUCCAUAUCCGGAGUCGUUUAGAUAUGACGUCGGAGAUUCGGCUGGUUCAACGUCGGGGCCGUCUUCGAUUAUAUCUUCGAGAAGUUCUUCCUCUUCGAGGUUCUUGAUAUGUGGAUCCAUAGUUCUGCAAAAAACGGACAUUUGAUUAACUAAUAUACUAACAAACUAUAUAAGAGGGGUUGGAAACUUCGAAGGCUCGUUUUAUAUAGGAGGACCUUUAGUCCCGGGUCUUGGCUAGAACCUAAACUCUAAAAUACCAGCUGGGCGGAGCCCAGUCCCGGACAAUUAAGCAUAUACAAUAGCAAAAUUAAACUAGUUCUAUUAAUUUUCUUGCUAAAAAUAAACUAUUAACACUUAAGCAUAUACAAUAGAAAAAUUAAACUAUUAACACUUAAGCAUAUACAAUAGCAAAAUUCAGCAAUAAUCUAAGAAACACUAUUAACACUUAAGCAUAUACACUAUACAAUAGCAAAAUUAAAUGACAAAAAAAAUAUUUCUUCUUCUUGUAACCCUAAACUAAUUUUUCCUCUUCUUCUAUUUCUCCUCUUCUUAUACUUCUUCUUCUACUUCUACUUCUCCUCUUCUUCUACUACUUCUCCUCUCCUCUUCUUAUAUUUUUCCUCUUCUUCUCCUCUCCUCCUCUUCUUAUUCUCCGUUUUCUUCUUUUCUUCUCCUCCUCUUCUUAUUCUCCUUUUUCUUCCUUUCUUCUCCUUUUUCUUCCUUUCUUCUCCUUUUUUUCCUUUCUUCUCCUUUUUCUUCCUUUCUUCUAUUUUUCUUCCUUUCUUCUCCUUUUUCUUCCUUUCUUCUCAUUUUUCUUCUUUUCUUCUCCUUUUUCUUCCUUUCUUCUCCUUUUUCUCCUUUUCUUCUCCUUUUUCUUCCUUUCUUCUCCUUUUUCUUCUUUUCUUCUNNNNNNNNNNCCUUUUUCUUCUUUUCUUCUCCUUUUUCUUCCUUUCUUCUCCUUUUUCUUCUCCUUUUUUCCUUUCUUCUCCUUUUUCUUCCUUUCUUCUAUUUUUCUUCAUUUCUUCUCCUUUUUCUUCCUUUCUUCUCCUUUUUCUUCUUUUCUUCUCCUUUUUCUUCAUUUCUUCUCCUUUUUCUUCUUUUCUUCUCCUUUUUCUUCUUUUCUUCUCUUUUUUUCUUCCUUUCUUCUCCUUUUUCUUCCUUUCUUCUCCUUUCUCUUCUUUGCUUGUGCUGGCCGGAGUGUUGGGGAGGAGGGGGCGUGGGGCUUACCGGCCGGAGGUNNNNNNNNNNUUUUUUUUCCUUUCUUCUCCUUUUUCUUCCUUUCUUCUCCUUUUUCUUCUUUGCUUGUGCCGGCCGGAGUGUUGGGGAGGAGGGGGCGUGGGGCUUACCGGCCGGAGGUGUCGACGGUGCGCGGCGAGGAGGGCGGUGCGCGGCGAGGAGGACGGCGGCGGCGAGCAGGACGACGGCGACGGCGAGGAGGACGGCAGGCGAUGGCGAGCAGGACGGCGGGCAGCCUGACGGCGUCAUCGAGUUCGUCGCUUGCCGCCGUCCUCUUCUUCUACUUCUUCUUCUACUUCUACUUCUCCUCUUCUUCUACUACUUCUCCUNNNNNNNNNNNNNNNNNNNNNNNNNNNNNNNNNNNNNNNNNNNNNNNNNNNNNNNNNNNNNNNNNNNNNNNNNNNNNNNNNNNNNNNNNNNNNNNNNNNNGGAAGGGAGGGGGAGGGGGAGGCGGCUAGGGUUGGGAGGGAGGGAGGGAGACAUGUGUGAGAGUCAGGAAGGGAGAGGGAGAAGUUGAUGUAGUGGUGCAGAGAUGAAGCAGUUCUUCUACUCUUAUCCUUGAUGGUUUGUUGUGUAGACAUCUUCCAUUCUUGUGCGGCCGAGCAACUCUUAUAAAUUGUGACCAGAGCAUGUAGUUGUACGGCUGUAAGCCACGCCCUAUGGAUUGGUAAAAUACUUGAUUUGUUUGUAAUAUUAGACAAUGUCCCGCGCGUUGCUGCGAAAAAAUUGUUAAAAAUAUAUGGAUAAAUGUUAAAAAACUAAUGAAAAUGCAAAAACCAUUAUAAAAAUAUCUUGUUUAAUUACCUAGAAAAAAAAAUCAUGCAUGAGGAUAUGUUUUGCAUGAAGAGAUUAAUAAAAAAAGUAACUUACAACUACAUGCAUGAUUUGAUGAUGUGGCAUUGUUGCAUGAAGAGAAAAAUUGGAUAAUGGGUUCUAGCUAUUUAAGAAUAGAAGAUUUAGUAUUGUUUUUAAAGCGCUGUAAUUGUGCGGCUUGCAGCCCCAUCAUAUGGAUUGGUAAAAUACUUGAUAUUUUUAUAAGAUUUGGUACUAUCUUCAAAGCGGCUGCACAACACGCCAAUGGAUUGAUAAAAUACAUUUUGUUGUGUGAUUUGGUAGUUUUUUACUUUUCACUUUGACUUGAAAUCCUCGGCUAAACCCUAACCCUAAACCUGGUGGUUUUGCUUCUUUGAUAUAUAGAGGGUUGUGCGCCAUGCUUUAUUUGUAUGUUUCAGUGAAGUUUUGUAUAUACUUUGUUGGUCGCGAAAUGUUUGAUCUAUGCUUGCGAAUCCGAUAUCCCUUCGGAGAUUCCUUGCUUCUUCUUUACGAAAUACACAUACCACUUCUUUGGCACUGCUUGCUAAUUUAAUCAAAUCAAGCGUAAGAUAUUUUUUUACUAACACUACAUGAAACAGUACAUGUGAGAGACUAUGAGACUUCUUAAAAACAUUGAUGAUUUUCUUCUACAAAAUAAAUUAAGCAGUUUGUUGAACUCUAAUGCCAAUUAUAUAGAAACUUCAAAAUAAGUUGACGUGGGAAAGGACAAUGCAUCUAAAAACCAAACAAACAAAAAAGCGAACUUUGGAAAAUAUAAGCCAUAGAAAACAUGUGCGUCCUCUUAACCUUCAGGGAAAAUAUACAUGAUGUGGAUGUCAGCAUAGUAACCUGGCUCUUCAGAAUUUCAGAAAUCUUUCUAAAGGAUGAUUUCUUAGUGAUAGCAAACAAUAAGAAUGAGAACGAAGCAUUAAAUUUUUUGAAAGCACACGCUAACUAGUUUGUACACUUGCACUCUACACAAUGUGUAGAGUGUUAACUUCUUGUUUCGAAAAAGGUUUGCUUGAUGAUUUCUUCUUCCAGGUGCUACCCACCUCGACAGCUCGUGCAAUAGGAGGAACACUAUGGUGGUCCAAAAUCCUGAAAUUUCUACUCAUCAAGGCAGCCUUUCUGCAUAAUAGGAGCAAUAAUUAACGUCAUUUAUAUACACAAGAAAUACACCAAACAGAAACACCAAACAUACCAAAUUCCAGAGAACUGACUUGUUGCACUCAAGUCUUAUUAAUUUUCAACAUUGAUUCUUCGCAGUUGAUUAACAUAAUAUCUGGAAAAGUUAGUUUUCACAUUAAGUACAAAACAAAUAAUUCAAUGGCAAUGAGCAUGUACUACAGACCCCCAAAAAACCAAGUGUGAUAUGGAUUCAUUGCCAUUCAGAAAAGACAGUAGCAGUAUCACCAUCGAUUAUGUAGAGGAGCAAAAGCUAAUUUUUCAGAUAUUUUAUUUCUACUAAACUUUGAAUGCAUAAUCCACACAACAGUGAUUAAAUCAAUUGACCAAUCAAUAGCACUCCCCAAUGUGCUUUUGCGAUUCUUAAAAUUGUACAGUGAGAAGAGGCACUGAAUUUGUAGAAAACGAAGUGAAGAAGUGAGGAUUACUUACUAUUUUUUGUUGAGAAAGCGAGAGCAACAUCAUUUCCUGAAAUUGUGCUAGCAAAUAGACAUGUCUAAUGCGCAUAGGACUGCUGACGACUUGAUAAAUUUAAUGGCACAUGUCACUAUUUUUUCCUACCAACUGAAUCCAAUCACUAUUUUUUCUCCUCGACAACUUUGAAAAGUUGUCACUUCUAAAAAUUUGCAACAGAACUGAGAAUGAGAUGACUACCUUGAUCACUCCUUUUAAGACACAUGGCAUAAAAAUUGGAAGGUAACUUUUGUGCCCUAUUUCAACUUGGAUGUGCUGAACUAUCUGGUAUUAUUACUGAUAUUACUUUGGUAAGUGAGCUAAGAUGAUGUGAACCGUGUUAGAUUGAUCUCUUUCCCAAUGGGCCCAACGGCCCAUUGGACCUUGACUCACGCCCUGAUCGGGGGCGUCCAGCCCAAGCAAGGCUGGUGGGCCCCUGUCGCGCAGUGCUGUAUAUAGAGGAGGUGGGGACCAUGGCACAGACUACGAGGUUCGCCGCCGCCACUGGUUCCCCACUCCUAACCCUAAUCCGAUCUAGAGGGAUGCACUGAAGCGAUGGGAAGUCCACCGCCGCCGCUACCGCAUCUCUCUCUGCUUCCCCACCGUCGCCACUACGUCACGACGGUCACCGGAGGGAACUCAUCGAGCACGGGAUAAGGUAACAUACCACUACUCUCACCGAACACAUCUAGCCUUGUCGAUCCACGAGAUCUAUCAAUGGUAUGAGGAGCCACGAGGCUUAGAUGUGUUUUCGGUUGAAACACGACAAGGAUAACAUUUCCCCUCCCCGAUAUGAACCCUAGAUGGGCAAAGAAACCGAAGAUGGCCACGGGCCUCGUCGGCAAAGUAGCGCCGCCGCAAGGCCGCGCCUGUUCUUCUCGAUCCCCACACGCAUCGGCAAGCCGAGGUGUGGGGAAGAAGAACCUACCUUCUCAAAGGCAAAGUAUGGAUCUGAAAAGAUCCAAAAGGAAAACAAAGAAAGGAUAUGAUUAGAUCCAAAAGAAAAAGAAAAAACAAAAGAUCGGAUUGGAUCCGAAAGAGCAAAAAAAAAGGGGGGGGAUGCAAAGAAAAGGCCUACACCCCAACCGGGGCAAAGGGCACCACCACCGCGCCCUUGAUGGUGGCGCGUUCACCUUGAAAGUGCUCGCGCGUGCCGGCAAAGGAACGGAGAUGGAGCCACCGUAUCAUGCCGCUGUGCCAUAUCUCUACACGGCAAGGAAAAGGAGCACCACGGCCAACCCACUCGACGGCGGCGCGCUCACCGCAAGGGAACGCGCAACCGGCGAAAGGGGAGGCCACGGCGCCACUAUCUCUUACUCUGCCGACGCCUUGGUUCUCUCUCUGUCUGAGAACUAGAUGGGGGGAGGAGGGUCUAGUCGAGCAAGGAAAAAGAGAGAGAGAAAGAAAGAAAGAAAGAAAGGGGAGGAAGAAGAAGGGCAUGCGCGGCGCGGUGGCCGGAGAGGAAAAUAAAAGACUCGCGAGGGCCAGAAGAGGAGAAAGAGGCGCGUGGGCAGAGAACGCCUCGUCGUCGUCGCGGUGGCCGGCAGGCCAUUGUUGCCUCGGGGCUCCGGCGAGAAGGAGGGAGUGCGCGGCGCGCGAGAGAGCUCCUGAGCGAGCGCGCGCGGGGGGGAGGAACCAGGAACGCGCGACGGGAACACGGGGCCGGCCGCGCAACAGCACGGUUGCCCUUGUGGCUCUCGUCAGUGCCCUGGGAAGAUGCCCUGAGCUCGCUGCGCGCAAGGGUGGAGCAGAGAACGGCGUGGUGUGGGGGAGAAAGGAAGCUCCUAUGGUUGCCUGGUGGCUCGAGCCCUUUUUGUUGCGGGCGAUAUGGACGGGCCACCGUUGGAUCGUAUCCGACGGCCCCGAUCGGCUGGGCAGGAAACCCUAGCGCAGGAUAGGCUUUCGGCCCGAAAGCAACUGGUCACAGGCCAGGCGGAGGUGGGCCGGCCAAGGACGGGGCGACGCCGGCUGGUAGGCUGAGAGCCCAGCGGGAGCAAGGGCUGGCCAGGCCGGUUUUGGCCUAGUUGCUAGAGGCCGCGAUUUUGUUAUUUUUCAUUUUUGUCCAGUUUUGGACAGAUCUGAGAAUAAAUUUUCUCUGCAUGGUUUUCCAACAAAAAUUAUGUUUAGAAAAUAGAAAAGGAAAAUGCAUUCUUAUGCAAAGUAAAUAGAAGGUCUCUGCAGAAUAAAAGAGAAAUUUUUUCUGCAUAGAAAAAUAGAUGUUUCUGAAAACAAAUAGAGUUUUUCAGAAAAAGAAAAGUUCAUGGAUUUUAUAAUAGGAAAAUAAAGUCCAUGAAUUUUUCUUUUUAACAGAAUAUUUUUUUGUAAAAGUAUAUGAAUUUUCAUAUUCACGUUUUUCCGCUGCAAAGUAAAAAAGGUUUAGUCCUUCAAUUAAAUUGGAACCAACGGGAAAAAUUUAAUUGGAAGAACAGUUAUUAGCAAAGUUUUUCCCUUGUGGGUGAAAUAGGAUUCAAACAGAUUCCGCUAUGACAAUAGAAUGAUGUUUGUUUUAAAGUUAAAUAUGGUAUUGUUAUUUUCUGACCAACGUUGAUGAUAACAAUACUAUAAUUGUAUGAGUCAUCUUAUGUUUAAAGCUUAAAUCUCUGAUAAAUUUUGUAUCAAAGUGAUCAAUUUUCGGAGCACAGAUAAAGAAAUGCAUAUGGUUAAUGAUGAUGAUGAUUAUUUCUUAGCAAAGUUGUUCAAUAGAAAUACUAUCAUCACAUUGUUUAUGAGUUAUAUGCAUUAUUUGUAUUUCUGCCCAACGGUGAUAUGGAAUUAAUGUAGAAGAAUGAUGUUUUAUUCUAAUUCUGCCACAACGGUGUUUUAGAAUAUUCCAGAAAGUUUUAAAAGGUUUAAUGUGCAUGAUUUUAAUCAGACCAACGUAGGGUUAUUUUUAUGCUCAUUACCGUUGUUUAUUGGCUAAGUUUCUCAGACUAAAAGUUAUUCAAGCUUUCACUCAUGAAAGCGAAUGUUUGGGCACUACUGACCCGAAAGAUGGAAAAGAAAGGUCAUAACUUGAGGGAAUAAAUUCUCUCUAAAGAAUGGCUUCAAAAGAAAAGAACUCUUGAAUAUUAAUUCAAGAAAAGAAAAGAGAUAGAUCAUUGAGAGUCUUGGUUGACGAAUGUCUUUCAUGUACUCUCUAUGAUGGAGUCUCCUUUUUUCAGUCAACGUGAUUGAAAUGAAACAAGCAACAUGCAUGCUUAAUUUGACCAACGUCGGAUCAAACAUGUGUGUCAAAGAUAAUUCAGAUUUAUUUCUGAAUUUGAUGCAGUCAAAAGAGCCAAUUAUGGCAUUUAUGAUGUCCCAUAAAGGGAAUUACCCGCAUGGCGGGAAAAGUCUGGGAAGAAUGCCUGCGUAACCGGGUAAAGUUGACAUUGUAUUAUGUCAACAAUCCGUGUAUGGCGGGAGAAAUUUUGGCAAAGGUCUUAUCCUGUAUGACAGGAGAAAGUUAUGAUGACUCAUGUGUGGUUAAUGUGUCCCACUAUGGAAGAAAAAGUAUGGAGUAGCUAUUAAGCUUUCCUAGUAUUGACCGUACACCUUAUGUGUAACGGUCAUUAUGCAAUCACUAAAUCCAGAAAGGAUAAAAGUAACAGACGAACCUAAAGACAAGAAUGAUAUGCAAGUGUGACUUGCAAAAGUGACAACUAUAAAGAACUCUCUUGAGUUUCGAAAUGAAAUGAGGAAAAAGUACUCCCAUAGUAGUUAACUUAUAACUUCAUUUUACAUGAAGUGAUAAGAUGAAUGAGCUAGAUAAUCGAAGUUUCCUCAUUUCACAAGAACUAUGAAUGGGUUUCGAAAUUGUGGCAGAAAAGUUCUUGCCACAUUUCGAGGGGGAGAUAGAGACAUGAAAUACACUACAAUGUAUUUCAUGACUCCUCUGUACUUUAGACGAUGUGAUGCACAUUAUGCAUCUAAAGUGAUCCAUUAAUGAAGAAUGUGAUUGUCAAGGGGAGUACGACAGUCAUCUGAAUACCUUCAUUAUGAUACCCCUAAAGAAAAGAAACAGUUGUAUUUUCGGAUCUUUUAUAGUUCUGAAAGCAGACUAAGGAAUACAACAGUGGUGCUUAAAGUGCCAUAAAGAAGAAAGUUUAAAGAUACGUCAUUUCUUCAGUGAAGAUGGAGUAAUCUGGGGGAGCAUGUUGUAUGACCUAUACAACACCUGUUGUUAGCUCUACAAGGGAUCUUGUGAUACAGGUCCCUGUAAAACCUAUUGCCUUUUGAAAAUGGGUGACUGUAGAAUGAAUUUGCCUCUUGGCAAUGACAGAGCAACGACAACCCCAUAUGAAAUUGUUGGAAUUAUGCCCUAGAGGCAAUAAUAAAAGUAUAGUUAUUAUUAUAAUUCCUGUAUCAAGAUAAUAGUUUAUUAUCCAUGCUAUGAUUGUAUUGAAUGAAGACUCAUUUACAUGUGUGGAUACAUAGACAAAACACCGUCCCUAGCAUGCCUCUAGUUGGCUAGCCAGUUGAUCGAUGAUAGUCAGUGUCUUCUGAUUAUGAACAAGGUGUUGUUGCUUGAUAACUAGAUCACGUCAUUGGGAGAAUCACGUGAUGGACUAGACCCAAACUAAUAGACGUAGCAUGUUGAUCGUGUCAUUUUGUUGCUACUGUUUUCUGCGUGUCAAGUAUUUAUUCCUAUGACCAUGAGAUCAUAUAACUCACUGACACCGGAGGAAUGCUUNNNNNNNNNNNNNNNNNNNNNNNNNNNNNNNNNNNNNNNNNNNNNNNNNNNNNNNNNNNNNNNNNNNNNNNNNNNNNNNNNNNNNNNNNNNNNNNNNNNNCUGACACAUUCAAGAAGCAAUGCGGAGUUCUCGUUAGGGAUCACAUCCCGAUCAGCGUUCGGGAGUGGAACAAGCGCAAAGGGGCAGCCGAUAGUGACUAUGUCGCCGAAAGGUACAAAGAUAAUCUUUGGAAUGAUCUCAUGUCACAUUUCAACCUGCCAGAAUGUGAGAAUGAAGACGCCGCAGACAAACUGAGGGCCAAAGUCAAGCAGUGGACUCUAAAGAAGAUGGCCGAAUUGUUCCGUAGGUGGAAGAAGAAGCUAUGGAAAAACUAUCUGAAGACAAAGAAAGUGCCGGUAUUCGAGGGGUAUCUAGCCAAGCAGGCGAAUCACUCGAAGGAAUUUCAAGAGUACAAGGAGUCAGAAGAUGCCCAGGCAUUAUCAGAAAAGAACAAGAUAAAUGCCGACAAGAAGAAAUAUCACCACAAGCUGGGGCCAGGGGGCUAUGAGACUGCCAUCCCAAAGUGGGAAAAGAAAGAGCAAGAUUUGAUAGAUAAAGGCAUCGUACCAGAACCACUCCGUGAUGAGUGGGAAUUGAGAGCAAGAAAUUGGUUCCUUGCGCAUGGUGGGUCGUACGACGAAAAAACAGGGGACCUCAUCUGCAAUGACAAUCUUAGGAUACCCAGGGAGAAUUGGAAAAGGAUAGUGAAAGAAAUUAAGGAGGGACAAAGAAAGUUCACUGCAGAUAGACAUAAAGAUUUGCUCACACUGGUCCUCGGUAAUGACGAACAUGGAGGACGAACGCGAGGCUUCGGUCCAUCUUACCCGUGGUGGCUUGGGUUUGCCAGAGACCAAGACACUUACAGAAGCCGAGAGAGAGCAAAGAAGCGGCAGCAAGAUGAGGAGAAUGACAAGUUCAACCAGUUGCUUGCCAGGAUUAACGAGCAACAGAAUUAGAUUGAUGAGCUUAGAGGAGUACCGCGCCAGGAAGAUCCUGCACUUGAUAUUAUCGGCACCCCAUCUAAGCGGAAAAGCAGCGUGGCUGAAUCUUAGGCCCCGCUCGCCGAUGAACGAAGAAUGACAGAGGGCAGUCCCGGCUACCCUGUGGAUGGAAUCAAGGAUUCAACAUCAUGUGAACUUCAUCAGAAAUUCAAGAACAUAUCCAUGAAGGUGGCCGUCGGACAAGCUUUACCUUCUGGCCCUAAUGCACGCUGGCAUGGCCGUGAGAUUCCAGUUGGCUUUGCUAAAGUCGGGGUGGAUGAAAUCAUGACGGGGUUUAAUGAUAUGGAGCUCGACAUAGCUGGACCCGAAGAUGAGAGGACACUCGGAGAAGUACUGGGUGGAGUCAUCCUAUGGGACANNNNNNNNNNNNNNNNNNNNNNNNNNNNNNNNNNNNNNNNNNNNNNNNNNNNNNNNNNNNNNNNNNNNNNNNNNNNNNNNNNNNNNNNNNNNNNNNNNNNGGUGGGCACUGCGGCGGCGACGGUGGCGACGGCCGCGGCCUUGGCUCCGGCCAUGGCAGCCUCUGCAGUUACCAAUCAACACAGGCGUGUUAGUUUGGGUCUAGUUCCAGGCUUUCAGUAGACAGGACUGCACAUAACUGCAAUGCACUCCUAGAAUAGAACGGCGAGAGCAUUGCCGGCACAGUGAACCGGCGGGGCAUCAUAUCGUUUUGGUUACCUCUGGAGCAGCGCUUGGCUGCGGCGAGCCUCUGGUCGAGGUAGGCGCCGGUCACCGUAGACAUCUUCGCCGGAGCAAAGCUUGGUGGCAGGAGACCCGAAGGAAGUGAACUACUCGUGACUUCUUAGGCCCUGUUUUGUUACAAAUAAGUCACCAACUUAUAAGUUAAAAAUGCAAAAAAUGACUUAUUUUGCCAAAAGGGCCUAACUUAUAAGUCACCCUAACUUAUAAGUCAUAAGUUGCGAUACCCUAGCUUAAAACUUAUAAGUCACUUACUUUUUGAUGGGUCCCACCACCUUUUCAGCCGUGCCCACCGCCCACCCGUGCCCACCGCCCCAUCCGCUCCCCACCGCGUAGCGCGCCUCGCCGCCGCUCCCACCGCGCAGCGCGCCUUGCCGCCGCCGAGCUCCAUCCCCACCCACUGCGCAGCGCGCCUCGCCCAUCCCUCCCCACCGCGCACCGCUGCUGCCCUCGCCGCCGCUGNNNNNNNNNNNNNNNNNNNNNNNNNNNNNNNNNNNNNNNNNNNNNNNNNNNNNNNNNNNNNNNNNNNNNNNNNNNNNNNNNNNNNNNNNNNNNNNNNNNNCCUAGUGUGCCUUUUCCUGUCAGCCUACCCUCAUACCGAGAUUCGGGAACACCAAUCGGCUUAAGGUCAGGAAGAAAGUCCACACAAAACUCAAUGACCUCCUCUGUUCCAUAGCCCUUGGAGAUGCUUCCUUCUGGCCUAGCACGGUUACGAACAUAUUUCUUUAAGACUCCCAUGAACCUCUCGAAGGGGAACAUAUUGUGUAGAAACACAGGACCGAGAAUUCUAAUCUCUUCGACUAGGUCAACUAGGAGGUGUGUCAUUAUAUUGAAGAAGGAUGGCGGGAACAACAACUCAAAGCUGACCAGACAUUGGACCACAUCAAUCUGUAACCCUGAUAGACUUUCUCGAUCGAUUACCUUCUGAGAAAUUGCAUUGAGAAAUGCACAUACCUUCACAAUUGCCAGGCGAACAUUUUCCGGUAGAAUUCCCCUCAAUGCAACCGGAAGCAAUUGCGUCAUAAGCACGUGGCAGUCAUGAGACUUUAGGUUUUGGAAUUUUUUGUCUUUCAUAUUUACGAUUCCCUUUAUAUUCGACGAGAAGCCAGUCGGGACCUUGAUACUGAAAAGGACUUCAAAGAAGAUUUCCUUCUCUUCCUUAGUAAGAACGUAGCUGGCACGCCCUUGAAACUGCCCUCGAUGCAUGCCAUCUCUUCCUUUAUGACGUUCCUGGUCCUCCCGUGCUUCCGGUGUAUCUUUUGACUUCCCAUACAAGCCCAGGAAGCCUAGAAUAUUCACGCAGAGAUUCUUCGUCAGGUGCAUCACGUCGAUUGCCGAGCGGACCUCAUGGACUUCCCAGUAGGGUAGCUCCCAAAAUAUAGAUUUCUUCUUCCACAUGGGUACGCGCUUAUCAGGGCCGUUAGGAACAGGUUGGCUGCCAGGACCCUUUCCAAAGAUUACUUUUAAAUCUUUGACCAUAUCAAAUACUUCAGCACCAGUACGGAUGACAGGCUUCCCCCGGGGUUCUGCCUUGCCAUUGAAAUGCUUGCCUUUUUUCUUGAAGGGAUGCUUGGGCGGAAGAAAACAACGAUUGUACGGAUACACAUUCUUCCUACAGUUGUCGAGAUAUAUACUUUCUGUCUGAUCCAAACAGUGCGUGCAUGCAUUGUAUCCCUUGUUUGACUGACCUGAAAUGUUACUAAGAGCAGGCCAAUCAUUGAUGGUUAUGAAAAGCAACGCUCGAAGGUCAAAUUCCUCUUGUUUGUGCUCGUCCCACACACGUACACCUGGUUCGGCCCACAUCUGUAAAAGUUCAUCAACUAAUGGCCUUAGGUACACAUUAAUAUCGUUGCCGGCUUGCUUUGGACCUUGUAUAAGCACUGGCAUCAUAAUGAACUUCCGCUUCACGCACAACCAAGGAGGAAGGUUGUAGAUACAUAGAGUAACGGGCCAGGUGCUGUGACUGCAACUCUGCUCCCCAAAAGGAUUCAUGCCAUCUGUACUCAAACCUAACCAUAAGUUCCUUGCGUCAGCUGCAAAUCUCGGGAACUCUCUCUCGAUUUUUCUCCACUGCCGACCAUCAGCGGUGUGCCUCAACUUAUCGUCUUUCAUACGAUCUUCCAUGUGCCAUCACAACAACUUCGCAUGGUCUUUAUUUCUGAACAGACAUUUCAACCGUGGUAUUAUAGGAGCAUACCACAUCACCUUGGCAGGAACCCUCUUCCUGGGUGGCUCGCCCUCAAUAUCACCAGGGUCAUCUUUUCUGAUCUUAUACCGCAAUGCAGUGCAUACCGGGCAUUUAUCCAUAUUCUCGUACUUCUCACCGCGGUAGAGGAUGCAGUCAUUAGGGCAUGCAUGUAUCUUCUGCACGUCUAAUCCUAGAGGGCAGACAAGCUUCUUUGCUUCGUACGUGCUGGCGGGCAAUUCGUUCUUUCUUGGAAGCAUCUUCUUCAUCAGUACCAGCAACUUUUCGAAUGACGAGUCAGUCACACCGGUCUCUGCCUUCCACUUCAGCAAUUCCAGUGUGCUACCCAGCUUCUUCUGGCCAUCUUCACAAGUUGGGUACAACAAUUUGUUGUGGUCCUGUAACAUCUGCUCGAACUGCAACCUCUCCUUUUCUGUGUCGCAACCUCGCCGUGCAUCAGAAAUGACCCGGCCAAGAUCAUCAGCGGGCUCAUCUGGUUCCGGUUCUUCAUCCUGAUCUUCUUCUUCAUUGUCUUCCAUUGCGGUAUCAGCAUACUCAAGGAACAUAGAUUGGUAGUUGUCAUCAUCAUUCUCUUCUUCUUCUUUGUCGUCUUCCAUCAUAACCCCUCUUUCUCCGUGCUUGGUCCAAACAUUAUAGCCCGACAUAAAACCGGACCGAAGCAGGUGGCUCUGAAUGACUCUUGAGGAAGUGUAAUCCUUCUCAUUCCGACAUUCAACACAUGGACAAAACAUAUAGCCACCACCAUGCUUGUUCGCAUCGGUUGCAUCUCGAAAAGAAUGCACACCUUCUCUGGAAGCGGUUGUGCGUCGAUCACCGUACAUCCAUGGAUGGCUCAUCUCUGCGUUAUACGACAGUAUAUCAAAUACAAUCACGAUCCUAGAAAUUAGUACCGCACGGUCUAAACGAGGAAAUAUAGUUGCUAACCUUUUAGAAUAAGUAGAAAUAAAGAGGAAGAGGUUUAAGCGUGGCUCGGGCAUCUCAUAUCGUAGUUGUGUUCGGUGAACUGAAGCGGCAUCGCUCUAACACACAUUUCAACAAACACCUCUAGUGCAUCAAAAAAAGUGGAGAGCAAGCACCCACCCACAAUCCUCCAUCCAAGAAAAAUGCAACGAAGAGGGGAGAGGGGGGGCUGUGCUAUAUAUAGGCAGAGGACUUUAGUCCCGGUUUGAGACACAAACCGGGACUAAAGGUGGCGCACAUGCGGGCUGCCCACCGCGUAGCCCUUUAGUCCCGGCUUGGGACACGAACCGGGACUAAAGGCUCCUUACGGGCCGGGACUAAAGCCUCGAGGGAGGAUAUGAGAAUUGGGGCGACGUGGCCGGGCCUUUAGUCCCGGCCCAGAGGCAGGCCGGGACUAAAGGGUCCAGGCCAAAGGCCCGUUUUCUACUAGUGAGACACAUAGAGUUCACCGAGAAAUCCAUGGUUAUGACCAAGAUGAUAAUUAAGUACUGUAUGUUUCCUAUUAGGAUUAGGCGUUUCUUCGAAACAUAUACUGACAGAUGUAUAGAGUUCACUCAUGAUAGAUUAAAAAUUUGAGGAUCAAGUACUCUUGCUUCAUUGAUCAUUACAAGUUGCAAGCUAGCUUUAGGAUUAGGCGUUCAUGCAGUGUUUAUCAAGAUUCAGGAUUAGGAAUUUUUUGUAUCUCGCAACUUUGUGUCGGGCAAAUUAACCUCACUCAUGUUGCUAUGAGAGAAAAACUUAGUUAUGUCAAUUUUGCAAGAUUAUGUGGCAUCUUGACAAGAUAAGUUAGAUUUGUAGUAUGUCUAUUUAAUUUUUUCUGCUGCAACAUAUGUUGUCGAAAUACUUUCAAUUAUCAAUUGAUUCAUGAUUCACUAUUAAAAAAAUCGGUUCCGAACUCGGCACCCGAGUGAAGCAAAAGGGAAAUUGCUAAGCAAACUAGUAGCUGCACCUUAAUCCAAACUCAGUGAGAAUUUUCAUAGUCCUGGAAAAAAGAGAAUUUUGAUUCAAAAAAGGCGGUGUUGCUUCUGCUGUGCAAAAGGGAAUUGCUAAGCAAACUAGCACCUUAUCCAAACUGAAUGAGAAUUUGAAGUUCAGAAAAGAUUGCUCCAUUUCUACUGUGCACCUGAUGUAAAUCGCUACCCUGCAGGACUGGUGACGAUGUGGCUCUCUCUAGGCGGGUAGCGGUGACAUUCCUUAUGAUGACAAUGGCAGACUUCAGCGACCAGCUCUUCGACUGGCAGGACCGCCAUCUUCGAGCCCGACGUCGGACGCGCCCGCGUCGCCGCUGUCGUCGAGGAUGAGGCUGAGCACCUCGUCCACCUCUUCUGCGUCCUCCCGCGCCAGCAGCUCGUCUUUACAAUCCUCCGCCACCCGGGGAAACCCAAGACCGUAUGCCUCUUGCUCCCCUCCGCAUCUCUCGAUCAUAGAUACACUUUCUUUAGUUUUGAACCCUGUUAGAUCUGUUGGAGGGGGGUAAUUGAUGUUAGCAUCAAUUUAGGAGCGAUCUGAUUCACUUAUUUUCCAGGAAUUGGAAUGCAUCCCCCUGUUUUCUGUAGCUGAUUCUCAUCUCAGGGAAUCUUUAUCGAAAAAAAAAAUCUCAGGGGAUGCGUUGUGUGCGCUCGAAAAAAAUAUCUCAGGGUACGCGUUGUGUGCGCUUGAAAAAAAAGGGCAAUGGUUGUCGCACACCAAAUGUUUGGUGUCAUGCCUAUGCGGGGCUUUGGCAGGAACCUGCGGGCUUUGUAUUUGCUCCAAGAGUGAUCAAUUGAUCCGAGAUGGGCAUAAGUUUAGCAGGUAUUUUUAGUUUGGGGAGGUGAUGUGUGAGUCAUGGCCUGCACUGCUCGCUGGUAUUUGGCUACCAGUGACUGAGCUACCAACAAGUUAUAUGACUGCUGAUAUCUGUACUUAUAUUGUCCUACAUGCAUAGAAUGAGUGGUCUCUGCAAUCUAGUAGCUUAUACUCCUACUAUUUAACUCUGAACAGAUGAUCUUACUAGCAACUGAUGGUGUAUGCUUCGGACAAGAAGCAUCCUGUUUAAUACUCCUAGCAUAGUUUACAGUCGCGUUAAGUGUAAGCGUUUUGUGUUAUGCCAAGGUUGAACUUUAUUCAUACCGUGUGAAACUGACGCUCACCAUGCGAACAGUUUCAGGAGAUCAAAAUAGAGCAGAAUGAUGCUUCAAUAACCAAGUUAUUCACAUGCCCUGUUUCCUAUGAACCACUGAUGAGGAAAGGGCAGUCAAAACCACUUUGCCAAAGUCCACUGAACAAUUAUUCAAUCCAUCAAGUUUAAACCACUUUGGGCAUUACAUGAGAAAUGAUGUUAUGUAUUUCUAUUUCUGUGAAUUAUUGACCGCUCAACGCAUUUGUUAAGUCAACCAUGAUAGUGUAGUGCUUAGUUAGUACUCUUUUCGAUGGCUUUGCACAGGAACAAGGCAUCGUGUGAUGACCUGUGUUCCUACCUUUUUGCCAUAUGGACUUAUUCAUCACAAUGACAUCGCCUUCUGAUACUUUUUAAAAUCUGUCUAAUUGUUGCAGGCCCUGACAACAUGGAGCACCUGAAGAGGAUCGCCGAGGAGAUGCAGAAGCAGGUGGCUGUUGCAGGCGCCAUCCAGCCCAAGGAGGAGAACGACUUGGAGUUUGGAUGUAUUAUGUAAACCUGAAAGAUGUAUUAUGUGAACCUGGGAGAUGUAUUAUGUGAACCUGGGAGACGUAUUGUGUUAUGUAAACUUGGGAGAUGUAUUAUGUGAUGUUAUAUGAUGGAUGAUUUUAAUUUGAGUUGGAGUAUUCUUGAUUUGAAUAUGAAAUAGUGUUGGAUUUAAUAUUGGACAAAUAAUUGGGUUGCAAAGGCCCAACAAAUAGAAAUGAAACCAAGUUCAGGAACAAAAAGUUGCUGAAUUCAAAAAUGAAAAAGGCCAAAACUGAAAUUGGACCAAAUGUAUUUGGAACUUAAAGUCCAGGGCCCAAAUUAUAAUGAUAAAAAAAAUUCGAAAAAAACAUACUAAAGUGGCUGUAAAUAGGCAAAGUCCCAAAAGAAGUCCAAUAAGAAAAAGCCCAAAAAAAUAAAAUCAGCCCAUGUGAUCAAUUGAAAUGGGUUGGGCUGAUUUCAACCAUGAUGUUUUGAUUUCGUCGUAAUUUUGCCACGUAGGACUGCCACGUAGGACUGGGUUUGAUUGCCAACGCCGAUUUAGGAUCGUCGUAAAGGUUACGACGAUAGAGGCAUCGUCGUAAAAGUUACGACGAUUUUGAUCAAAACGUCGAUGCUCUUCAUUUCUGACGCUCCGUUUUCGACGCUUGGUUUUUCGUCGUGAGAUCGUCGUAAAUUAAAAACCGUGACGAUGUAGCGACGAAAAAAUAGCGUCGUGUAUUAGCAUAUUCCUUGUAGUGGUGGGCACUGCUUCGGGGGAAACCCUAAGAUCUGACUUUCCAGAUCGGACGAUGGCGGUACUGCGGUGUCGUAUCUCUCUUGGGAGCAUCCUUUGUGGAGCAAGGCUAGAUGACAGAGGCAGGAGAUGGAGCGGCUUCGUCUGGCUCGAAGAUUUGUUGGAACUGUUAAGUCAUGCCUGGCCGACAGGUGCUACGCGGAGUCAUGCCUGGUUGGUAGGUGCUACGCACGACAGUUCUUCCAGAAUCUUCGUGUCUGGACGAAUGAGCCUAGGGCGGUGGCGCUGUUUGGCGCCGUGGUGGCGUCGAUCAUCUUGCACGGAGCUUUCAGUGAAGAUGUCAAGUCUUGCGUGGUCGACAGGUACUACGCUAUGUCAUGCCUGGUCGGCAGGUGCUACGCACGACAGAUCUUCCAGAAUCUUCGCGUCUGGACUGACAAGCCAUGGUGGCGUCGCGGAUGGAUGGACUGUCAAGGAUGAUACUGUUCUCUCUCCUGAAGAUGGGUCAGCGGCCUGAUGAUGAUGGCGGCAUCUAAAACAUGUGCAUGUGGUUUCCGCUUUAUGUCUGUUGCACCGGCUGUGGGUUCCGAUACGAUAUGUGGAUGGAUCAAUGACGGCACCGGUUUUAGAUAUGGGGAAUGAGAGCACUCCACAUUAUCGAGUUUCUUAGGUGUGAGUGGUAGCUUCGGAUGGUUUGAUGUAUGUUCUUGUUAGACCUAUGUUGAAUAAUUAAUAAAAAUGGCCGUAUGCAUCGAUUGAUGCAGAGGCAGGGGGUUUGAACCUGCUUUUCCGAAAAAAAACAUCCACAUGUCUCAUUCUGGCGUCCUAUAUCCAUACUACACAUGCAUGUCGAAAUAAUCUACGUGAUCGGAAAAUAAAAUCGAAAGGAAACGGACACAAGAUUUGCGGCAAACGGACAUCUAUCAAUACUCAAAAGAUCAUCGAGUUCGCAUGACAUAGUUUAUCAUCACCAAAAAACUAUAUUAACAAUGCUGGUCGUUUCCUAGUAAAUGAUAAAGGUGUUGCAUUUUUUGAGAAUCGUUUGGUUGUUCCCAAGAAGCAACAACUGUGAGAAUUGAUCCUUAAGGAAGCUCAUGAAUAUCCUCUCACGAUUCAUCCCGGUAGUACUAAGAUGUAUCAGGACCUACGCCAGAGGUUCUGGUGGACCCGAAUGAAGAGAGAAAUCGCUCAAUUUAUUGCUAACUGUGACGUUUGUCGUCGCGUUAAGGCAGAACAUCAAAGGCCUGCUGGCACUCUUCAGCCCUUGGCUAUUCCUAAGUGGAAAUGGGACAAGGUCGGUGUGGAUUUCAUCACCGGCUUUCCAAAGACUAAGAAAGGGAUUGAUGCCAUCUUCGUGGUCAUCGAUCGUCUUUCAAAAUUUGCUCAUUUCCUUCCAGUUCGAGAGAGUAUAACUGCUAGUCAGUUAGCAGACCUAUGUAUUUAUCGAAUAGUUUCUCUUCAUGGUGUUCCUCUGGAAAUCAAUUCAGACCAUGGAAGUCUUUUCACCUCUCUAUUUUAGGAAAGUUUCCAAAAUGCUAUGGGAACUCUUCUCUCCUUUAGCACUUCUUAUCACCCUCAGUCAAGUGGUCAAGUAGAAAGAGUCAAUCAAAUUCUCGAGGAUAUGCUCAGAGCGUGUGUUAUCUCAUUCGGAAUGAACUCGGAGAAAUGUAUUCCAUUCGCCGAGUUUGCUUAUAACAUCAUUUUCCAGUCUAGUCUGGGCAAAACUCCUUUCGAAGUUCUGUAUGGAAGAGGAUGUCGAAUGCCAUUAAACUAGUCAGAAACCGGUGAAAGACAAUACUUUGGACCGGAUAUGAUCCAGGAGGCAGAAGAGCAAGUUCGCAUCAUUCCUGAGAAUUUAAAAACCGCCUAAUCUCGUCAAAAGAGUCAAUAUGACCGUCGUCAUUACGAAGUAAGUUAUGAAGUUGACGAGAAGGCUUAACUUCGGGUUUCACCUCUCAAGGUUACCCAUCGUUUCGGUAUCAAAGGCAAAUUGGCUCCUCGUUACAUUGGUCCUUUUCGCAUUCUCGCUAAACGAGGAGAGGUUGCCUACCAAUUGGAACUACCUCCGCAACUUUCCAAAGUUCAUGAUGUGUUCCACUUUUCUCAACUCAGGUGUUACUUCAAGGAUCCUAUCCGCGAAGUGGACCACGAAACGCUUGAUCUCAAAGAUGACAUUUCAUAUCGAGAAUAUCCCGUUCGUAUUCUUGAUGAAAGCGAGCGAAGCACUCGACAUCGCAACAUCAAGUUUCUCAAGGUUCAGUGGUCUCAUCAUUCCGAGGAUGAAGCAACGUGGGAGCGCGAAGAUCGUCUUCGGCUUGAGUACCCCGAUCUCUUCCCGACUACGCCUGAAUCUCAGGACGAGAUUCUUGUUUAGUGGGGGUGAGUUGUCACAGUCCUAGUUUUACUUUACUUGCCAAGCUGAAUUCAAAUUGCAUUGAAUUUGAAAUGGGGAAGUGAUCAAGCCUCAGGAACCAAAUUUUGGGAAAUAAGCAAUAUAAAAAUUGCUAUAAAAUGAUCCAAGAAAAUGUUCCGAAUAUUUUAUUAAAAUAUUGGCAUGAUAUAAAAAUGUCAACUAAUAUUUUAGGUCACAGAAACAUUUUGUGUUGGACUUUUGAUUUAAUCAAGCAAAUAUUUGGAGUGGAAUUAUAUUAUCUCUAUAUAAAAUAUAGUUCCAUAAUUCCUGAAAAUAAAUGUGUGGCAUUAGAUAUUUAUAUUAUGCCACCUAAUAUAUUUUUCAGGGUUUUAUAAAAUGGCUAAAUAAUUUAUUUAAAGCCUAAACACAAACGGCAGAAACAGAAAAGAUACAAAAACUGAAAAGGGAGCAGAAGCUUACCUCGCGCCUAAGUGGCACGCCCAGCCCACUCCAGCCACCCCUGUCGUAUUCCUCCUCCUGCCAAUAGGCAAAGGAGAAGGCGAGCACGGCAGCCACCUCCUGCUUCGCCGUGGAGCUCCUCCUCGCCUCCACGACACCAGCACGACCCCCUCUCUCUUAUCUCCUCCCCCUCUCUUCAUUUUCCCCUUUCUCCCCUGCUCAUCCCUCUUUCUCUCCUCCGCCAUUGACGAGCUCGGGCUUGAGGUCACCGGCGCCCCUCCGGACACAGCAACACCACCCUGACCUGCUCCCUUCCCCGCAUCGACGAGCUGCUCCUCCCCGCCGAAGGAAUUGAGCCGAAGCCCGCUGUAUCGCCCUCGCCGCCGCCGUUCCCAACUCCGACCACCGGACCCCGCCGCCGUCGAUUCGGCCUGCCCCGAGCUCCCCUUCCGUCGGCGUUUCUCCCAUCAGUUCCGUGGUGAGCUGCGGAGCAUUUCGCCUCUAUUUCCCUCUUUUUCCCGCGCCCUGGCACCGCUCCCCAUCGAUGCCAAACUCGGGCCGCCGCGUGCCUCCACCGGCGCCCCCAUGACCAGCCGUUGCCCCUGCUAGAUCGGUCGCUUCGCCAGCUUCGCGUAGCCGCAAACCGCGCGGACAAUGGCCCCUUGGAGCGUGAUUGUAGCCAACUCCGUCGAGUCCUCCGCCGCGGUUUGGUCGCCGCCGGCCAGUUUCCGGCGAGCGCCGACGUGGCACGGCCAUUAGUGCCUAACUAGCACCCCACAGCCACUGACACAGGGCCCCACGCGUGGGUCACACCCCAAUUAGGGGCAGGUCAACUCGGGUUUAGCCCAGGGUCACUGACCAGUGGCCCCCACUGGUCAGGUUUGACCUGGCCCGGCUGGUUUGACCUGAUGACGUCAGUGCUGAUGCAGUAAUUCAUUUCAGAGUUUAAAAUAAAUCCAGAAAUUAGUAGAAACUUCAAAAAUUCAUAGAAAUUAAAUUAUAACUCGGAUGAAAAUAAUUUAUAUAUGAAAAAUUAUUAGAAAAAUGUAAGGAAUCCAAUGGUACCAUAUUCAUGCAUGUUUGAACAAUUUGAACUAGCUGAAUAGGACAAUUACAAAAUAGGCAUAUAAAUGCUUAUAUUUGGAGUUUAGAAUUGAUCUAUAUUGAUCAAACAAACCCCAAUUAACUUGUGAUCACUUGCAUUAGAUAAAACCAGCAUCAUUUUAACAUGCCAUGCUCAUGCAUCAUUGUGAAGCAUUUGUCGUGCUUAAUUUGUUCUUUGUUGAUCUUGUUGAUAGACCUUGCGAGAUGUAGUUAUCACCGACAUCGAAGAACAGCUGAGUUCUUCUGAUCAACAGGAAAGCAAACCCCUUAUGUAUUAGGACAUAAAGAUUCAACUACUACUUAUGUUAUGAUAGAUAACACAUUCCUUUGCAUGACAUGUCUUUGUCAAAGUAAAUAGCUAAACCAAGAAACCUAGCAUACCUGGUAGAUGCUUGAGCCAUGUUGUGCCAUUACCCUGAUAUGCUUGCUAUGCUUAGAGUUGAGUUGGUCUCAUCAUCUGGAUGAUGAAUUGGAAUGACCAUAUCCUACUGAUGAGAGUUAAGUAUGUGAAACCGUUUUGGUAAAGGUAGUGAUGAGAGUCCAUGUAGGAGUACAUGGCGGGUUGUCACAUUGAUACCGCACUUAGGACCUGAGAUCUUGUGUUGGUGUUCCAAGACUAGAUACUACCGCACAUUGGGUUCCGGUAACUCGACCCCUCUCGGCCUAUUAACUACUCUAUUCUCAGUCCAGGAGUCGCAGUAGUUCGAAACAUUCAUAGAUUAUGGCACGACCUGCUAAGUGGAUGAACGGCCCAAUCAUUACCGGCUUGGGGCCCUGCUCACAUCGUUUGAGGACAUGUUGGAAACCCCGGCCGGACUUCCAUCAUGGGUUCCAACUCAGAUAGGCGACUGCCUUGUGCGUGAGUCAUUGUGGGUUAACGUCCGUGGCUGACUCCCUCGCUGGACUUCCGCUUGAAGGUUGCUGAGGUGCUUGUUUUAUGUGCACAUGGCGAUAAUUGGCGGGAGCAUGUGUGACGAAGUACACCCCAGCAGGGUAAUUAUCCUUGGAUAUGGACUACUUGGAUACUUACAUGGUUCAUAGAUAACUUUAACGGGUACUUUAAAAUGGUCCAGAUAAGAGUGAGUGCUAUGGAUGGCCUUCUCAUAGGAUGACGAGAGAGGAUCCAUGGUGGUGUAUUGAUGUGGUGGAUAUGUGGACUCGUGUGCGCCCUCUCGUAGGGAGACAAGAGAGGUAUAAAACAUUGUUGUAGUUUAGGUUAGCCAAAGGUCAAAGCUGGCUUUUCUGCAGUAAACCCCACAACCCCGUUCAUUGAUGCAUGAUGCAUAUGUAGUUAACUCUGAUGUAAGUCUUGUUGAGUACCUUCAUACUCACUGUUCCUUAUUUUCAUUUUUGCACAGAUAGACGUUGUUCUCUCUACGUUUUCCUGUUGACGUUAACAUCGAUGGAUUAGCUUGGGAACCCAGAUAGUGGUCUGGCUCCUAUGGUAGGGUUGUUGUAGCUUUUCAGGCUCUUCCAGCCGCUUUUAAUAGAUGUCUAUACCCAGACAUGUAACUUCCGCUUGAUGCUUGUAUGCUCUGAAUGUUGGGUCAUGUGACCCCUCUGUUUGUAACAUUAUACUAUGUUGGCUCUUCGGAGCCUAUUAAAUAAUUGAUGAGUCGUAGAGUUAUGAUGUGAUGCUAUUGUUGUAUCUACACAUAUCAUGCAUAUUGUGUGUAUGUUUGAAAUGCAUUGGUAUGUGUGGGAUUCGACACCUAGUUGUGUGCCUUUAGUAGUAAUCUUUACAGCGAAAUGCCUCUUUGUGCUUCCACCGAGCCUUGGUAGCUUGCUACUUCUUCGGACACAUUGAUUGACCGGCGUGUAUCCUUCUUUGCUGUUGUAUCUGUCCCCUCGGGGAAAUGUCACGCGGUGUAAUGGAGUCCUUGUAGCUUGCUACGACUCGUCUACACACGCUGUUGACCGACACCUGCUUAGUUGGGUCAAGGUGAGCGGCCCCGACACCACCAUCGCCGUUCGGCGCCCCCGCCCCAGGCGGUUGCUUCCGCUGCUGGCCCCCGCCCUCACCCCCUCCAGCGCUAGUUGCCCCCGUCAUCGCCUCCGCCGUCUCACUUGUCGUGGAAGACCUAGAAAUUUUGGCUAAGUGUUGGCUCUGUCCUAUCCUCGGAAUAGGUCCCACUUGUCAAUGACUUAGAUUUGGCAAGAGACAACCGCAGUUUUAUAUAAUAUACAGUCAUUUCGGUAGAUGGGCAGCAAUCCCUCUCUAGCCCAGUGGUAGUCAACAAGCAGCCACAACCCAGUGGUCGUGGGUUCGAGUCCACGCUCGGGUAAAAAAAAUUACCCAACGAAUUUUGCGCUCGCGUGUGCUUCUGCUGUCAAAUGGGUCCCACCUGUCAGUGUGUGAUCUUUGUUUAACAAGAAGUAAGCAAAAAUGACAGGUAAACUGAGGUUGUUGCCUAACCAUCCUAAUGCAUUCGAACUAAUUAGUAACAAGAGGUGGCCGGUGCUGUCCGCUUUACGACAAUUUCUAGUAAGGAAGUUAUGACAUUUCUGAUGAAAAUGGUCGUUAGUUUUUAGGGUUAGGACCCCUCCGGACAUCUUACAACCAAUUGGUCUCAAAUGGUCGUAGAUUUACGACCAUUUCUACUUGCGUCAUUGCUAGAAGGUCGCUAGUUGACAUAUUUCUUCUAGUGGAUUACCAUAAUGCUCGUCAUAUACAAGGAUUAAUCCUGCAAUGACGAAUCAUGUGAUCAUCCAAAUGACGGAAUUUGAGAUGAAGAAUUUGGGUAAAACCUCUCGCACAUUCACUCAUACAUUAUGGUACACAUGUCGUCAUUAUCUAGAUUAUACUAGACAAAAUAGAUUGUGGGGAUGUCUUACCCAUCCAUAAUUUCCAUGGUUAUUCGUUCUCUAGACGUAGAGAAAAUUUCAUUUAGACUGCGAGGAGAUGGAAACAAGAUUUUAGGACCUAAAGUUCCAUAUCCUAGUGCCAUUGGACCCACCAAACAUAAUUGGUUGGGACUCAAGAAUAUAUUUUCAUAUCUCCAAGGCAUCAAACAUCUUGUCCUAAUCUUUCAGUUUUAGAGAAAUCUGGACACCCGAUAUUAUUGGAUACGUUGAUUAGAUCCCUACCAUGUUAGAUCGUAGACAAGCUAUGUGUUCCUACUAGGUGUCGUAGCCAUCCCAUGAAAGUCUUCAAAACAAAUCUUAUUAGCUACAUCCACCAACCAUUAUCUCAAAGAUAAUGUUGCUUGUGUUCCCCGGAUGCAAACAUGUUACAUAAUAAGCAAUAUCUCUAUAUUUCAUAUAUUGCAAUUCAAAUCAUGUGGCUGAUUUGUUCACCAAGUCUCUACCAACUUCUACAUUCUAGAAAUAUGUUCACUGAAUUGGUAUGUGACGGCUUCGGAAUUUGCAAGAAUUAGGGGAGUAUCUUCCUGAAUUUUUCAUGUUCAGAGCAUCAUAUUAUAAUAUUUUUCCCUGCAUGAGUUUACUGUACAUGUUCUCAUAAAGAUUUUUCAUGAGGUAAUAUCAACAUGAAAUCAUAUGUCAUAUUUUUUGUUUUCCCCAACUGGGGUUUUUAGGGAUGUAUACACAACAUAUUUAUUGUCCUCUAAACUGUAUGGAUUUUAUAAUAUUGAGUUAAAGAGACAAUUAUUAUGAUAUGUCAUAUUAUUUUCUCCUUAUAUUUUUCCCACUGCAUUUUAAAGGAGUUUCCAAUGGCAUAUCAGAUCACACUCUUUUCCCUUAUGUGAUUUCUCUUGAAGUUUCUCAUAAAAGGUUUUAACAAGGCAACAUAUGCAAUAAUUUCUAUUUUUCUCACUUGGGUUUUUUUAAACGAAAGUAUACAAUGAACAUUUAUUGGUCUCCAAACUCACAAAUAAGUUUUCUCCUUGUUCAAAGGUUUUCCUCAUAUGUGUUAUCAAGGAGAUACUAAUCAUAAUAUGUUGCAUCAUAUUCUCCUUAUUUUUUACCCAUCAGGUUUAAAGAAAUUUUAGCAACAUAUCAGCACCAUUCUCCUCAUAUUUUUUCCAUAAGGUUUUUGGGAAGACUCAAGAUUGUACAAAGGAUUUAUCAAGAUGGAAGAUGAAUAUACAAGACACCUUCAGUGAUGUUCAAGAAGCCUUUAGUGGUGAUCAGGAAGCGGUGUUGUAUAAGGGGGUGUUAGGAAUAAAUUAUCACAUGUCUAUUUUUAAUUAGCACAUGCUAAUUAAUGGAUCAUCAUUAGCGAAAGGUGUGUCCAACCCCGAAGAGUUAUGUCCCUUCUCUCUCUUUAUUGUCAAUAGGCAUCUGUUUUGGACGGAUGUCUCCGAACAAACACCCUUUAUUUUCAUCUUUUCGAGAUGUAUAUAUACUUGAGUAUCAAUAAAAACAAAGACUUAUCGUUCAUUUACUUUCAAUCAAUCUUGUUCUACUUUAACACAACUCACUAGCAAUUUUGUGUGUCGGGCCACUUCGAUCUUGCGGUAUACCCCAGCUGUCCUGGUAUGUGGGGCAUGCUAUGGUUGUUUAAAAAUAUUAAAAUUAUAAAAUGCUUUCUAGUAUGACUUGGUUUUAUUAAGCACGCAAACAUAAUAAAUUUGAAUCGACGUUCUUGUACCACCGAAAGUUCACACCAAUCAGCGAACUACGCAUUUCCAUUAAAGUUGUAGAGGGUGCUGCAGUAGUAAAUAUGUAGAGGGGAGGAGACGCAUCAAGACAAGAGGGCAGUGUGGUGCACUAAUCCUACUACGUAGUCCCUGUUGGUUGGUAAAUGAGAUGGUCAGGUCUGUUGCAAUUCUUUACGUCGUCUCUGUUGGUUGGUGUAUUCUCCUGUGUGUGGCAUGGUGUUUGUGAUUAGAGAGUUCCCAUGAUUAUCUGUCGCUCUGUUACGACUUGGCAUAAUACUCCUACAUGCACACAAAGACGUGUCGGUUGCAGCUAGCCAUCGGGACUGACAUGCCGUCCUACCGAAUGUUUAAGGAGGUCGACAGUAGUUUGGUGCAGCUAGUCAACGGGACUGACAUGUUAAGCAGCGCGUGUAUGCGUCUCGCUUCGGCCGAAAUCACUGUUUUAACAUUUUUAUUAAUCUUUGUCACAAACUGAACUCAACAUAAAAGUGUUUUAUGAUCUAAUCUUUUUGAUAACAUCAUAGUCAAUCCAACAUAGAAACGCCAAGCUAGAUAGCGUUUCUGCCCUUGUCCACUGUCAGGCCGACCAUGCGUAUGUGACAAGCCAGAAACGUCGAGCUAGACCCCGUUUCUAUAUAGGGCGGCAACGUCAAAGGCCUUGCGUUUCAAAACAACAUAGAAACGUCAAGGCUUUUGGCGUUGCUGCCCUACAUAGAAACGCCAGGGUCAGUGACGUUUCCAGAAACGAGAUCUAGCUCGGCGUUUCUAACCUGUUACCUACGCGUACUCGUCAUGGCAGUGGACCAGAGCAAAAAUGCUAUCUAGCUCGGAUUUCUAUGUCGGGCAGUAACGUCACGGGCUAUGAUGUUGCCAAAAAGAUCAGAACGUGAAAUACUUUUAUAUCAAGUUCAGAUUGUGACAAAAAUCGCUGAGAAGGUUAGAAUAGCGAUUUUGUCUGCCUUUGUGGGCCAUCUCCUAGUGUCGUGGGAAUGACCCUAACAAUAGUACCUAAGGGUAUGAAUGAAGGGGCAAAGUCUAACUAGACGCAGUGGAUGCACUCGGAUGUACGAGUUUAGACCCCACUCGAAAGUGGUAACAGCCAUACGUCUCGAGCCCUGAGGCUGGUAUUUUCUUAUGGGGUGUAAAAGAUUACAAAGUGUUGAACCCUUGAGCUAGAGCCAGAAGUGGCUUAUAUAGUGCAUACCAUGACCGGCCGAGCUUCAUUACAAGGCAAUUAAUGCAAAUAAACGAAAAAGUUACUAGAAACGACAGCUUUAAUUAUCGGCGUUACUAGUAACGUGAGUCUUCACUGCUCUUCAUGCGAUGGGUUAAGUCCUUAGCCGUUUGCAGCCUCUUCGGUGCCUUUUCCUCGCUGAGGUCCGAGUGUCAAGAUGUAUCCGACUCGCACGAGAGGAUCCGAGUGACUCCAGGCAGACCGAGUGACGGUUGCUGAACCGAGUGAGGUCGAGGCAGCCUUGGUGACUUUAAGGAUACUAAUGUCCGUAAGGGUCCUAGGUAGGCCCAAAGAGGCAGGUCCGUAGGCCUACCCCUAAUGUACAACACGAGCAGUAGCCCCCGAAUCAAUUGAGGUUUUGCAGAUCGACUGAAUGACUUCCUUCAAUGUCUCCGACGCUUUGAAGAUUCUUGGGAUGUAGCUCGGGGCUGCGUCAUUCGGACCCUCGGCAAACCUCCACGGAUUUAAGAGUGACCAAUUUCGACUGUCCAGCCAUACAGGUACUUCAGCAGUCGGCAGUGACAGAUUAUCUUUUGGAAAGAUAGAUCCCAUGAGUUCGAUGGACGAGAGCUUUGUACUCCGCGUGCUCAAUCGGUGAGUUGGGACAGAUCUUAACUCGUGUCGAGGUAAGGACGAUCAGGUCGUCGUCAUCAAUUUCCGGACUGAUCGGGAUUCCGUAGGGGAUCGUGCGAAAAGAUCAUUCGGCAUGCUUUGUCAUACGACGUGUACACGGGAUCCAUUCGGGAUACAAGGUGGGACAGAUUUUUCGUAACUUUUGAAAUUGAGGGAGCACGCCCGCGGUCGACGGUUACGCGGAGACGCGGGUAGUGGAAAUAGUGAGAGAAAAGAUUAAUCGUAUGAGCUAAUGUAUCAUGAUCGUCAUUACGUGCAUUUCGGAACAGAACAGGGGAGGAGCUGGGGAUCAAAAGAGUGAACUAGUACUACAGUGUUAUCUCGGCAUUUUGCAAUGCUCUGACGCAUGUCAACUAGUAAGCGCCAUAAGGAAAAGACGAGUCAUGGCACAUGAACCAGGGUCGUACAAAAUUAAAAACUAGCUGUUAUUAACUCAAGAUCUCUGGAAAGGUACUAAGAUGGAGAAGUUGGCAACAUUAUUUCAUUUCAUACAUGAUAAGAUAAUUAGUGCUUGCUCGCAGUAAACAUCGCACUGCAAGCAUGGCCUCGCCUGAUCGCCCCAAUUUCAGCAGACAAGUUCGGGGAGGCGUAUAGAACUUGCUGCGCAUUAUUUGAUCUACAGCCUAAUUAGUGGAAGGAGGUGUUCUUGAGGUGUGGCGGGGCGUUGUCAAAGGAGUGCUUCCUGGCCAUGGAGACGAUUGUCUUGUCGGCGACGAUGAAAUAGGCCAUCCCGGCGACGGUGGAGAUGAUGAGCGCCUGCCCGGCCGGGUUCAGGUGCGCCUUUGCCCACGGCAGCAUCCUCACGCUCGCCAGCUGAAAUUACAGGUAAGAGGUAACACAUUCGUGCUCCGCAGGGAUAUCUCGAAGAAGGCAAGAACUAAAUGGCUAGCUACUAACCGUGGGGACUGCGGCUGCGACGGUGGCGACGGCCGCGGCCUUGGCUCCCGCCAUGGCAGCCUCUGCAACACCGACAGGUUAAUGACAAUCAAGUUUCAGUGGACAGAUACAUUACAGAAGCUGCAAUUAAUGCACGACGGAAUGGUAUCUAUACGAGCAUUGCUGGUUACCUCUGGAGCAACGCUUGGCUGCAGCGAGCCUCUGGUCCAGGUAGGCGCGGGUCACCGUAGACAUUUUCGUGGGAGUGGCAGCUUGGUGGCACGAGACCGGAAGGAAGUGAACUAGAAGUAGAGCAGCAGCAGUGUGCUUUUUAUGUGACCGUCUGAGAGUGAGAUGAGAUGGAUAGGAGGUGUGCUCCGAUUCGGCCGAGUUUAUGUAGGCUGCAGGAAACCGGCAACCAGCGUGCGCACAAGAAGACGAUAGAUACAGUGGGAAGCGAGACCGUGGUUUUGGCACUUUGGCAGGCGAGCUAGCAAUACCGGCGGCGUGCUGGGUGGUCGGCGCUGCGGCAGAACACAGGUGGCGCUGCCUCGUUGGUCAUUUAAAAACCAUCUCACGUGCGCCGCACUCUUCUGCAACUGGAUAACAGCAGGCAAUGCAUCAAUCCAUCGGGGUUGGCAGGGAAUCAUAGGAUAACAAAUAUAGGAGCAUGUGCAUGAGUGGGGUGUCAAUUAAAGCAUCACUUGUAGUGUUCUUAAAUCUUCAAAUCCUUAAAAUAAAUCAUUUUUUACGGAUUGAAACGAAAAAAAGCAAAGAAUAGAACCCCUAAACCCUUAAAAAAAAAUAAGGAUUGAACCCGGGUUGCCCUCUCAAUCUCUAAAAGUGAGGAUUGAAGAGGGGAACCCAUCCCUAGCCCGCACUCCUACCGGUCGACGCGCGGGAGGGAAAUUUCCCCGCCUCCCGCCUCCCGCCACCCGCCUCCUCGCUGCCGUCGGCCGCNNNNNNNNNNNNNNNNNNNNNNNNNNNNNNNNNNNNNNNNNNNNNNNNNNNNNNNNNNNNNNNNNNNNNNNNNNNNNNNNNNNNNNNNNNNNNNNNNNNNCCCCAGCCCGCCCCAGCCGCCGCCUCCGUCGUCCCGCCCGCCACGUCCCUCACCCCGCCCGCCUCCUCCCUCGCCCCGCCGAAGCCGCCCGCCACCAAGGGUCGGAAGAAGAAGCCCUCCCUUGGGCCGAAGGGGGCGGCGGGGCCGAAGGUGAAGAAGACCAUCUCCCGGAAGAAGCCGGCUCCUGUGCCCGCCCCGGCCGUCGCCCCUCCGCCCGUCGUGCACGAGGUGAAUGCCCGCCCCGCUGACAUCAUUCAUGGGGCUUCUCGAAGACGCGGAGGUGGACAUCGGGGCUCCUCCUCUCGAACCCUUUGGGUUUAGUGAUGACUUGGAGGAAGAGGGUGAUGAGGAGGAGGAAGGGGAAGAUGAGGAGGAGGUGACCGAGAUAGAGGAGGAGGCGUUCUCCACCGUUGGAAAACACACCGUGCGCUCGACAAACUAUAGCGAGGACGAAGAUAUUCUCUUGGUUCGUGCUUGGGCACAUGUGGGAAUGGAUGCAAGCACCGGUGCCGAUCAAACCGAUAAACUCUAUUGGCAAUGCAUAGAGGACCUCUAUUGCAAGAUUAAGCCGAAGACCGGUGGGUACGACGCUCGUAGUUACCUGUCGCUACAAGGCCGGUGGGAGUUGAUGAAGCCCCAUUGUGCUCGUUGGAGUGCGGCAAUGGACCAAGUGAAGGAUGCACCGCCUAGUGGGACCGUGGAGAGUGACUAUGUAAGUACAUAUGUGUUUUUCACAUUUAUUUUGAUUUUCUAUGCUAUUGUUAUGUAUGUUUACUAUGCUAUUGGUGGGUUUGUAGGAGGCAAUUGCCGACUUGAGGUACAAGGAGAUGGCCGCUUCCAAGGGCAAAGCAUUUCCAUUUAAGCAUGUUUGGAAAAUUCUUUAAACUUAUGACAAGUGGAAGUUGAGGGAUCAAGAGACCGCACCCAAGAAGUCGACAAUGCUUAGGAUGGAUGAUAGUGAUGAGGAGGAAAGGAACGAGUGCAAGCCCGAGGGAACCAAGAAGGAUAAGCUAAGCAAGAAGAUGGAAGGAGAGGCGUCAAGCAUAAGGGAGAAGAUGGAACAUAUGAUGAAGUCAAGGAAGGCAUUGAUAAUGAAGACAUUGGAGACAAAGCUCCUUAUCAACGAGAAUAAGAAAGAGGUGAAGCUUGCACAAGUUGAAGCAAGGCGUGAAGAAGCCAAGCGCAAGGCCGACCUGGAGGAGAGGAUGAUCAAGGUCAAAGAAGCAAAGGCAUGGAAAGAACUCAUGGUGGAAGAGAAGGAGCACAUAAUGAUGUCCAAUAAGGACAUUGAUGAAGACCAAUUGAUGUGGUGGAAGGAGUACAAGGAGGACAUCGCGGAGAGGAAGAGGAUAUUCUGUGGUGCGUCCUCUACUCUUCGAGGUGAUACUCCGAUGAGUGGUGGUGGCGAUGGCAGUGUGGAGGACUCCACCACCGGCGAAAAUGGAGGUGCUUGAUGGACGUGGAAGUGGUCUAGGAGAUGGCGCUGAGGUGCAACUUUUUGGUGAUGGUGCCGAUGAGAGGGGGAAGAUGAUGAUUUUAUGAUGUAAACUAUUAAACCAUGCAUCAAUGAUUUUCAUUUCCUAGUUUGUUUCAAGGUUGAUUGUGUUUUUCUAGUGAUAAUUGUGAUAUGUCAAAUGACAGAUUUAAGGGUUGGGGUUGCGGCAAAGACUAAACCCUCAAAUUCAACCCUUAUAACGGAGUAUUCUGUUAUAAGGGUUGGGUUUGAGGGUUCUAGUCUUUGCCCCUGUUUUUCAAUCCUUAAAAGUGCCAAAAAAUGCCAAUUCUCAACCCUUCAACUGGUAUGAGGGUUUGAGGGUACUACUAGAGAUGCUCUUAGCGUGCACACCAUCUCACUUCAGAUUUGUCUGUGUGUGUGGGAGUUUUCGUCCUACCCAACCCGGUUAGACGCGUCGGAAAUCAGCCCAAUUUGACUAGUGGUUGAGUGCUAAAUUUUUGUUUGUUGAGAGAGAGAAUAUCACAUGAAACCUAAGUUUUGAUAAAAAUCACCCAGAAUAGAUAUUAUUUUGAUGUUCCGAAAUCUCCAUUAGAUGUUGAUUUUGUUUCUUCAGCUCGUCCUUAGGGCGUCUCCAAAGCUGACCCGCCAAUAGUUUCGAUAUAUAUCCGUUUUUAUGUCCGGACGUAGUCCGUGGACGGUUGUCGAGGACAGGUAGACUUCGUUGACUAUAGCAUUUACUGUAGCUACAAUUGUACAGUAUACGAAGGAGAUGUGCCUAAGCCCUAGGCCGUCGCUCCUUCUAUCUGGGGCGUGAAUCCGUCCAUGUCGGUGGAUAUAAUCAGGAGUCGGCCAUUCAAUUGUAGGUGCAAACAUCCGCCUCUAUUAAUGAUUUUCAAGAAAUCAACUCAGCCAAAUUAACCUUCCACAAAUAGAAAAUCUACCUUCCGUUGAAUAGAAAUCAACCUUCACUUAUUUGAAUCAAUCUUCCACCAUUUGACGUAUACUUAUAAAGAAAUAUUUACUCUCGUAAUUUUAGGUGCGACAAUGAGAAUUGUCUAAAAAAAUAGAUGGAAUUGGACCUAGAAAAACCAUUCAGCUUCAUUAUGGAUUAGGUAUGACUGGGUGAAAAUCCUUUUGAAGGAAGCUAUUCAAGAACGGAUGGAACGGCUUUCCCUUCAAUAACAAAUAAAUUUUACAUAUGGGAAUUGGUUGAAGUCGAGGGAUUAGCUUAUAUAGAUAGACGCGGCGGGGGCACGGUGUUUAUCCGGUCUCGUGUUAGAUCCUAUGAUUUGGUUAGUUAGCCUAUGAGAACAAGUCACAAGUUAUUUCCUCUUUCAAUCAAAUGAGGUACUUCCUCGGUUUAGAAGGCACGUUUGGAAAAUCUCUCGGAUCAAGGUAGUCAACGAUUGGUUGUGAGAUGUAGUAGGUGUAUAUGCUAAUGCGCCUAAUCAACUGGAAAAAAUAAGAGUACUAAUGCUUGAGCAGCAAAUUAGGAGGGCGCAUGCAUGAGUAGUGCUAGUACUAAUUAAUAAGAGUAAUUGCUUUCCCGCCUUAAACCUUGUCUAUUUUGAAAACGCACGCAAGUUUAACCGUGCCUUCUAAACCGUGACGGAGAGAGUAAUUAACGUGAAGUAACAGGGUAAUAAAUCUACAUUUUUAAUACAAACUAUUAAUAAACUAGUAGGAAGAAAUAUGUGUUUUUAAUGUGGAGUAAUCAAUAGACGGUCCUAAGCUGCUCUCGCCCCAACCCGGACAUGGGUACACGGCGGCUUUUGAUUGGCCAAGCGCCGGACUCCUGUAAGGCCUCACCUUAUCGACGAUUGGUCUAUCUCUGUCUACCUCAAGUGUUGCUUUGUUGCUUAUCCUUUGUGUGCUUGCUACUUAUCUUCAGCAUUUGUGUAUCUAGCCUUAGGUUGUCUGAGGUGGUGUUUGUAAUCGUAUGAUUGUAUGUGAUCGUUGUUUUAUAUAUAAAACGGAACGCGAGCCUAUUUCGUCGUAAGCUGCAAUGCACAACAGAAUGGUAUAUACGAGCACUGUUGGGCUGAGGCAGGGACCGGCUCCCUCGUUGGUUACCUAUGCGGCACCGCUUGGCGGCGGCAAGGUAGGCACGGGUCAUCGUAGACAUGUCGAGAGCAGAGUUUGGUAAAGGAUCAGUAGGUUUACUAGCGUGAGUGAGACCAAGAUGAGAUGGGCAGAGCAAGAGGUGAUUCUUUUCAGCGAGAGGAGGCAUCGAUCCAUUUUGUAGGAGCAUGUGCGUGAGUGCAGUGUCAGUCAGUGUGCACUCCGUUUUGUUGGCCAUGUGAUGUGCCUGUCCUGGCGCUCCCAGUUUUCGCCCUAGCUAGCUCGGCAAUCCCGUCAGCGGUUCGGUGCAAAACCUUUGCUUGUUUAGCUGGCGUUAUUCCCGGGAGUGCAUGAUAGUUACCGGAGUAGUUGAUUUCCAUUUUCUUAUGAUGACGCUAAAAACACUUGCCAUCUUUGUUAAUUUAGAAGAAAAAAAUUAUCCUGUUAAUUUAGAAAAACCAGAUGAAAACUGUAGCAACACGCCCAACCAGACUAUCAUAGUCAAACAUAUGACAAUAGAUAUGUCAGAGGCCGAUCUUGCUACCAACGUAGACUCCAUACUUAACGGAGAAGACAACUUCCGCAAUGGCUGCAUAGAAACGUCACUCAUCGCCCUCAAUCUAUUUUUUAUUUUUUUGGAAAAGGAGGUUUAACCCCGGUCUCUGUAUCAAUCGAUGCAUACGACCAUCUUUAUUAAUUAUUUAAUAUAGGUCUAAUAAAAACAUACGUCAAACCAUCCGAAAUCAUCACUCACACCUACAAAACUCGAUAAUGUGUAGUGCUCUCACUCCCCAUAUCUAAAACCGGUGCCCUCAUCGAUCCAUCCACAUAACGUAUCGGAACUCACAGCCGGUGCAACACACCUAAAGCGUACACCACAUGUACACGUUUUAGACGCCGUCAUCAUCAUCAGGCGCUGACCCAUCUUUUGUAAAAAGAUGUGUAUCAUCCUUGCCAGUCCGUCCAUCCGUAGACGCCACCACGGCUCGUCAGUCCAGACGCGAAGAUUCUGGAAGAUCUGUCGUGCGUAGCACCUGCCGACCAGGCAUGACACAACGUAGCACGUGUCGGCCAGGCAUGACUUGACAUCUCCACCGAAAGCUUUGUGCAAGAUGAUCGGCGCCACCAUGGCGCCAAACAGCGCCACCGCCCUGCGCUCAUUCGUCGAAACACAAAGAUUCUGGAAGAACUGUCGUUCGUAGCACCUACCAACCAGUCAUGACUCAGCGUAGCACCUGUCGGCCAGGCAUGACAUGACAGUUCCACCAAAUCUUCGGGCCACACAAAGCUGCUCCAUCUCCUGCCUCUGUCAUCCAGCGCUGCUCCACAAACAAUGCUCCCAAGAGAGAAACGGCACCGCAGUACCGCCAUCGUACGAUCUGAAAAGUCAGAUCUUAGGGUUUCCUCCGAAGCAGUGCCCACCACCAGCAACCGCCCAGGACCCACAUAGUGCCCGCCACAACUCAGCCCUCAAGGCGACGCCUUCAGGAAGGUCACGACGUCAAGGACGCCGCCGCCUUCCACCGGAGUUAGGGUUUUCACCCGAGAGGCAGUGAGGUAGGAAGUGGAGGAGCAGACCUAGACCGACGUCUCCAGGAAGAACAACGGCGCUCUUGAGCGUCGUCGGCGGCGCGGCCGGCCAGGGCCGACCAAUGGGUUCCCCCGUACCUGAAUCUUCUCCACCAGCUUCAUCCGCGGCCACGCCGGCAACGCCAGAAAACCGCAGGAGAGAAGCACACCGCGGGUAUUUGGAUCAAUGAAGAUUCAAUCUAAACAGUGACGAGUACCACCACCCUGCGCUGGCCGACGGCGUCCGGGCGCCGGAUCCAGAAGGAUCUGACCCCUCGCCCUCGAUCUAAUGACUCCGACUCCAACAAAAAUGGCCAUAAACAAACUAACCGGUACAAGUUGAUGCAUGGAACCAAAAUUCACUAUGCUUAGAAGACAUCAUCAGCCAUGGAUGCACACAGGCGUCAUCAGAGGCGACUAAAUAAAAUGAUGCUGCUUGUAGUACCCACACCAGACCGAAUAAAAAUGAAACCGUUUGUAGAGAGACAUUUUACUAGCAUCCACACACUCUGCGAAGAUAGCUGCCUCCGAAUCCCACCAUGUGAUAGUCUAGUUCCGCUUUGAGGCGAUUGACACCAAGAGAAUUAGCGAUAACUGGCGACCGGUGGUUUCUCCAGGCGGCUCAACUCUAAUCUUGUUCAGUAGUAGUGGGUGUUUUGUGUUAGGGCUGGUGUCUCCUGGUUUCAUGCUCAAUGUUGACUUAGAGACAAUUUUUUUGGCCUUUUUAGACUUCUAAAAUAAGCUGCCUUCUAUCCAUUUUAUUCUAAAAGCCUAAUUCAAUUUCUUUUUAAAAACAUAUUAGACAAUUUAAUUAUUAGCUUUCUAAGAAAAUUAAUUUGGUUGGACUUCUGAAAUAAGCAAGAAUAGGAGGCAACCUAUUCCAUCUUAUUCUAGAAGCCGGCAAAAAAUAAACUGGCCUUCAGUUAUUCUUGUGCCAACAAACCAGUACCGUUUUAUUUUACUUUUAGUUUGUUUGCAUGAGGGUUGUCUCAUCAUAUUAUAUCGGUUCGACCGAUUGUGGCUUUAUUCGAAAAGGGGGCGAAAGACUCUUUUGAAAAAGGUUUAAUCGUGUGAGGUGAGGUGUCAUGAUCCUCACGUGCAUUUCGGAACAGAACAGGGGAGGAGCAGGGGAUCAAAAGAUUUAACUAGUACCACGGUGUUAUCUCGGCAUUUUGCAAUGCUCUGACGCAUGUCAACUGGUAAUCAUCAUAAGGAAAACACGAGCCAUGGCACAUGAACCAGGGUCGUACAAAAUUAAAACUAGUUGUUAUUAACUCAAGAUAUAUGGAAUGAUACUAAGAUGGAGAAGGUGGCAACAUUAUUUCAUUUCAUCCAUAAUCACACAAGUGCUUGCUUGAUGGCCCCUCUACUACUACUAGCUCAAGGUCUGAAGAAUGAUCGCGGACGGGGACGAGCCGGAGCCGCGGCGGCGCCACCGAAGGAGGUGUCUUUGAGGUGGUCAGGGGCGCUCUCGUAGGAGUGCCUCCUCGCCAGCGAGAGGAUGGUCUUGUCGGCGGCGACGAAGUAUGCCAUCCCGGCGACGGUGCAGACGAUGAGCGCCUGGCCGGUGGGGUUGAGGUUCGCCUUGGCCCACGGCAGCAUCCUCACGCUCGCCAGCUGCGUGAUUAAUAGUAGUUCAGUUAUGGAAACCACAGUCCAACGUGCAUGGAAAUCAACAACAAUUCCUGGACGGAGGAGCUCACCGUGGGGACUGCCGACGCGACCGUGGCGACGGCCGCAGCCUUUGCUCCGGCGAACGUUGCCUCUAGGAAAGAUUAAAAGAAAAAAAAGAAUGAACCGCUAGUAUCAGACUAUCAGCACACAACUGAGCUCUGAAGAAGUGCAUCCUGGUCAGUGGUUACUACCUCUGGAGCAGCGUUUGGCGAGGGCGAGCUUGUGGUCGAGGGACGCGCGGGUGACGGUGGCCGCCGACGACGACAUCUUCACCGUGAUAUUGUACAGAAACGGCUGAGUGCGAUCGAGUGAGAUGGUGUGGGCUGGCUGGUUCGUUGUUGCUCGAUGCAUCCAGACGAGGAGCUAGCCGUGUAUUUAUAGCGAGCAAAAAGGUUGCCGCCAUGCACGGUUUUGGGUGCAAACCGUGGGUACUCUGCUAUGAUCCGCUCAUUUGGACUUUAGAGUACACAACUGAGUUGGUGGGCGGAGCACCGCACGCUAUCUAAAAACUAUGGCAGCAAUCCACAGGAUUUGAUGAUGCUUGUUUGUUAGAGGUAUAUAUCCUCCAUGGCUCAAUCGCCUUUCUUUCUUUACCCACCAAAGCUGGUGAAAAAAGAGAGAUCUAAAGUUAGGCACAACAGUGCUGAUCUGAGCACAAUACUACGUAGAUAAUUGCUACCGGACGCAUUUGUUCUUUGUAAGAUAAGAUAACAAAUAUGAAACGGAGCAGGUGCCUCCGGGUCCACUCGUCAUCGUCGGUCCGUCGGUCGGCGAGCGGCGCUCCCAGUUUUCCGGCGAAACCGGCGGCAUGUGCUCCCCGGCCGGACUAGCUCUUCAUGCGUGAGCUGCUUUGGCAUUUCUCCACAUUUUUCUCCAGUCUGCGGCCCACCCAUAUUGCAUACAACAUUUAUUCUUCAGGUUCGUUGCACAAGAUACAGUCUGUUGGUGUAACCUGUUGUUGCUGCAAUCUCCAAUUCAUUGUUUUUUUUAAUAAUCUAAUUCAUUGUUUCAUUGUACGUUGACAUGAUUCCCAAUGAUUUGAUCCCGCUUGUAAGUGCAUACAAUGACAUCAACCAGCCAAUAAGAACUACCUCGUAGGUUUAGUUGCUCAUUAUUAUACAAUUACGACAUGGCAGUUUUAGUCAUUCAUUACCAUUUUUUGUUUAAAACUUGACAUUUAAAAAUGGCCUUUUAAAUUUGUGUCCCUAACUUGAAUCCAUAAUUCAGAUUUGCCCUAAUUUCAAAGCAUAUGCUCAAAUUUACACCUCUGCCGUUAUGUGUCCUUACAAAAAUAUCCUUCUGUACCAUAUUUUUAAUUGACAAAUUAUAGAGACUAUUUUGUCAUAUGGUAUUAUUAAAGAAGUUUUUUUUCUGUGGGUCAACGCACCAUAGUUUUGAACCUUACGUAGUGACGGAGCCAGUAUUUGGAUGUGGCCGUGGAUAGGGGGGCCAAAUACUUACAUACUAUGACAUAUCAAUCAAAUAUACACUAGGUACUUCAGAUUUUAUCGACCGUUAGGGGGAGCCAGGCCCCUGCUCGCCCCCUUGUCUCCGCCCCUGACCUUACGCGUAGAUAUGGAUAUACUUUUAUCUAACGAACGAUUAAGAAAGUGUUAAAGUAUUCCGGCCUCUGGUGACAAACACUUCGAACCUACACAUGACGGCUUUAUGAGUCUCUAGUGAUAAACACCUCAAACCUACACAUGACGACUUUAAUUAUGAGCCUUUGCUGACAAGCACCUCAAACAUGCACAUACGGCUUUACGAAUACAAAAAACUCAUGUUUUUUUAAUUAUUACAUGUUUUCCGACGAUAUACGAUCAAUGGGAGUAGGCAUUCUGGUCGACUAUGAUGACGCAUGUAGCAACUUCGACAAUUUUAAGAUAAUGUACCGGCUCAACCUAUCAAAGAUGCUCGCAAAGAUAGUAUGUGAGUGUGUACAUGUAAGUAUACGUGUGUAUAUACAAGUGUCUGCGCCUAUACUAUGUAUUGUGUUAAAUAACAAUACAUAAAGAUUGUUACGGUUUUCAAAAUAAAAGAAAAACACACGCUUCAAAACGUCAUUGUCUGUACUGUCUAUUAUGUUAAAUAACAAUACAUAAAGCUUGUUACGGUAUUCAAAAUAAAAAAGAACACUUGUUUCAAAACGGCCAAAUUUUUCAUUUUUAAACCCAUCCCUAUUUGUCAACCCAUCCAAUAAGCCGUAUCAAAAGAUUUAACGAGCGAGGUUAGAUGGCUUUGUCCUCACAUGCAUUCCGAAACAGAAUAGGGGCGGAAAAGGGAUCAAAAAAUGUACUUGUGGUGUGGUGUCAUUUCGGCGUUUUGCAAUGCUCCGAAGUACUUAGUACGCAUGCUAAAUGGUAAUCUUCGCAAACAAGAAAAAUAUUAGAUGAGUGAGGGCACUUGAACCAGAGAUGUACGAAAUUAAAACUACUCCCUUCGUUCCUAAAUAUAAGUCUUUCUAGAGGUUUCACUAACGGACAACAUACGGAUGCAUAUAGACAUACUUUAAAGUGUAGAAUCACUCAUUUUAAUUUGUAUGUAAAUCUCUAAUGAAAUUUCUUAGAAGACUUAUAUUUAGAAACAGAGGGAGUUGUUGUUAUUAACUAAAGAUCUCUGGAAAGAUACUAAGAUGGAGAAGUUGGCAACAUUAUUUCAUUUCAUACAUGAUCAGAUAACUAGUGCUUUGCUCGCAGUAAACAUCGCACUGGGCCAGAUCGCCCCAACAUUAUACUACUACUACGGGGCGGCGUACAGAGGUUGCUGCGCACUAGUUGAUCUACAACAUAAUUAGUGGUAGGAGGUCUUCUUGAGGUGCUCCGGCGCGUCCUGGAAGGAAUGCUUCCUGGCCAUGGAGAGGAUGGUCUUGUCGGCGACGAUGAAGUAGGCCAUCCCGGCGACGGUGGAGAUGAUGAGCGCCUGACCGGCGGGGUUCAGGUGCGCCUUGGCCCACGGAAGCAUCCUCACACUCGCCAGCUGCAGAAAAAGGCACGCAAGAAGAAGACGGUGAGAUGAUUAUUCGUUCGACGUCAAAAACUCAGUGGUGCAGGCUGAUAAACGUGUGCUUACGGUGGGCACUGCGGCGGCGACGGUGGCGACGGCCGCGGCCUUGGCUCCNNNNNNNNNNGUUUGGGAUCAACGUACGACUGUUAACCAAGUUCAGGUUUCAGCAGAAACAUAAGCCGCCGCAAUGAAUAGCAUUGCUGGGCUAAGGCUGGAAUCAGUCGUGGGCGCUUGGCGGCGGCGAGCCUCUGGUCGAGGUAGGGACGGGUCACCGUCGACAUGUUCACGGGCGGAGAGCUUGAUGUUGGCGACACGAGAUCGGAAGGAAGUGAACUAGUAGUGGCAGUAGCCCAGUAAUUCUGCGAGAUCGCCGACGGGCUAAGAUGAGUAGCAGUGUGAGCGAUAUGAGAUGAGAUGGGCAGAGCGAGAAUUUACAGGUUGCCGGGCAACCAGCGUGCGGCCGGGUUGACACUUGAUACGGUGGGAAGCAAGCCAGACCGUGUUUUUGAUACCGAGGGCCCGUUUGGUUUCAAAUAAGUCACCAACUUAUAAGUUGAAAAGUACAAAAAGUAGUUUAUUUUGCCAAACAGACCUAACUUAUAAAUCACCCCAACUUAUAAGUCAUAAGUUGCUUCACCCCCACUUAAACCUUAUAAGUCACCCACUUUUGCAUGGUCAGGUGACUUAUAAGUCAGAUGACAACCAAACAUGCGUGAUUUAUAAGUCACUGGUUUUAAGUCACCUGAUUUAAAAGUCACUGGCCCUGUUUGGUUUCAAUAAGUCAGGUGACUUAUAAGUCAGAUGACUCAUCUGACUUAUAAGGUCUGACUUAUAAGUGACCUUUAAGUCAGAUGACUCAUCUGACUUAUAAGUCACCUUUUCAUGCAAAAGUGGGUGACUUAUAAGUUUUAAGUUGGGGUGGAGCAACUUAUGACUUAUAAGUUGGGAUGACUUAUAAGUUGGGUCUGUUUGACAAAAUAAGUCACUUUUGCAUUUUUAAACUUAUAAGUUGGUAUUUGAAACCAAAUAAGGGCUAAGUCAUCUGAUUUAUUGAAAUCAAACAGGGCCCGAUACCGGCGGGCUGUGCGGAGGUUGAUAAAAUCCAUCAGGAUUGGCACGGAGCGUGUUCGUGUGUAGGAUAACAUAUAAGAGCAUGUGCGUGAGUGCAGUGUCACUCAGCGUGCACUCAAUUUUGUUGGCGAGUUGUCUGGGCGGGCGCUCCCAGUUUACGGCCAACCCGUCGGCGAUCCAAUUCUGCGAGCGGCUCGGUGCAGGGCAGAUCCUUUGAACAUUACCAUAUGCCGUAUAUCUAUGCGCGUAGAUAAAGUUGGUCACCCUUUUUGUCGGAGAUAAAGUCGAUCACCAGUUCAAAUAAUAUACUGCUCCCCCCCAUAAAAAAUAAGUGGAGCAUCGCGGUUUACAUCGAAUUGAUCGUAGGGAAUACUAGAAUCUUUAAUAAUCUACAACGGUGAAGACGCAUAGAAUUAACAGUUUUGCUGAAACUCAGCUAGCUGAGUUUUAAGUAUGGUCAUAGUCACUUUAUGUUUCUCUGGUUGUCUCGCUAGAUUCACCCUGUCUUUUGUUAAUUGCGGGAGCCAUGAUGGACGGCUCGUCUCGUAGGAGGAUCAGCCAUGUGCAUGAGUUUUCUCCAGGCCUUUUUGCUUAUUUAAACGAGCUGAGUUUUGUGAGUCUUUUCUUUAUUAACCGACGUAAAGAAAGAUGGGGUCUAAAGAUGCCACGCUGCUAGCUUUGUGCAUGUUUUGUCAUUUGUUCACUAUAGCUUCUAGGGGUAAUAAGUUCUUUCUUUUUUUCUUUUUCUUUUUUGCGGGUGAGGGCUAAGCUCAUUUUAAUUUCUUUUUCUUUUUAUCUUCUUCUCAUGAUGUAUCGUUGUAUUUUUUUUCUUCUGUUUUUCUUUCUUAUUUCACUAUAUAGAGUAGACAAUUGUUUCCCUAUUUUCUCUUUUUCUUGACUUUAGUAUAUUUACUUUGCUUUAGAAUAAAAUUCAUUUGUUACUGGAUAUUUCAAAUUGAUUGUUUAGGUUUUUAGUUUUGCAAAAAAUGUCUCUUAUUUUAUUUUUUUAAAAUACCCAUGUGAACACAAUAAUGAACUUGAGAUUGGAAAAAAGGGGCCGCAACUCUGCUCAGGAGGGGGAGUUGUCGGGGUCACUUGCAUGUUCACCACUAGACGUGCAACUGCAAAUGUUAUGACCUGAAUGCAACUGGAAGUUUCCAUGAGGGCCCGUAACUGCAUGUUUUUAAGACGGGGUCGCAACUGCACAUUUUCAGGAUGAGUUGCAACUGCAUGUUUUUAAGACGGGGUCGUAACUGCAUGUUUACAAGGUGGGCCGCAAUUGCAUGUGUUUUUUAAGAGGGGUCGCAACUGCAUGUUUUUAAGAUGAGUCGCAAUUGCAUGUUUUUAAGAUGGGUCCUAAUUGUAUACCCUCGAUGGGGGUUGUCGCAAUUGCACGCCUUCCAUGGGUUUGAUGUAAUUGCAUGCCUUCAACGGGGUUGCUGCAAUUGCAUGUAUUUUUGAUGGGGGUUGCAAUUACAUGCCUUCCAAGGUUUUGCCGCAUUUGCACGUCUUAUAGGGGUUGUCGCAAUUGCAUGCAUACGACGGAGCCAGUGCAAUUUUGUACCUUCGAUGGGGGGUUGUCGCAACUGGAUGCGUUCCACGUGGUUGUCAACUGCACACCUUCCACGAUUUUUGGUGUAAUUGCAUGCCUUCCACUAGGUUGCUGCAACUGCAUGCCUUCGAUGGGGUUGUUCCAACUGCAUCUGCUCCACGUGUUUUGUUCCAACUGUAUGUGCAAAUGCAUGCCUCCAAAGGAGUUUGUUGGAAUUGCAUGUCGUCGAGGCAUUUUGUUGCAACUGUAUGCCCGUAAGGGUUUUGGGCCAAGUAUAUGUCGAAAAUGGAGAAGUGCAAUAUAACAAACACCUUUGGUUAUAUAUAUGAUGUAAUGCGCUUUUUGUGCGAAUACUGGUGUUUUGAAUGUGUUUUGAAUAUGAUUUAUGCUAAUACCUUUAACGGGGUUGCUGCAAUUGCAUGCGUGCAACAGGGUCGCCGCAACUGCAUGCGUGCAACGGUGUCGCCGCAAUUCGCAUGCCUCCCAACUGAUGUUGUUUGUUGUUGAUGUUGAUGUGACCGCGUGCCUGCCGUAACUGCAUGCCCUCCCAUGUGUUUUUUGCCGCAAUUGCAUGCCUUCCAAUUGAUGUUGUUUGUUGUUCUUGAUGAUGUGACCGCGUGCCCGCUGUAACUGCAUGCCCUCCCAUGUGUUUUUUUCCGCAACUACAUGCCUUCNNNNNNNNNNGUCACUGCAACUGCAUGCCUGCAACGGGGUCGCCGCAACUGCAUGGCUUCGAUGGGGUUUGCUGCAAUUGCAUGCCUUCCAAUUGAUGUUGUUUGUUGUUGUUGUUGAUGUGACCGCGUGCCCGCCGUAACUACAUGUCCUCCCAUAUUUUUUUCCGCAACUACAUGCCUUCAACGGGGAUCGCCGCAAUUGCAUGUCUGCAACGGGGUCGCCGCAACUGCAUGUCUUCGAUGGGGUUUGCCGCAAUUGCAUGCCUUUCAAUGGAUGUUGUUUGUUGUUCUUGAUGAUGUGACCGCGUGCCUGCUGUAACUGUAUGCCCUCCCAUGUGUUUUUUUCCGCAACUACAUGCCUUCAGCGGGGGUCACCGCAAGUGCAUGCCUGCAACGGGGUCGCCGCAACUGCAUGGCUUCGAUGGGGUUUGCCGCAAUUGCAUGCCCUCCAAUUGAUGUUGUUUGUUGUUGUUGUUGAUGUGACCGCGUGCCCGCCGUAACUGCAUGCCCUCCCAUGUGUUUUUUUCCGCAACUACAUGCCUUCAACAGGGAUCGCCCCAAUUGCCUGUCUGCAACGGGGUCGCCGCAACUGCAUGGCUUCGAUGGGGUUUGCCGCAAUUGCACGCCUUCCAAUUGAUGUUGUUUGUUGUUGUUGAUGAUGUGACCGCGUGCCCGCCGUAACUGCAUGCCCUCCCAUGUGUUUUNNNNNNNNNNAUCAUCGCAAUUGCAUGUCUGCAAUUGGGUCGCCGCAACUGCAUGUCUUUGAUGGGGUUUACCGCAAUUGCAUGCCUUUCAAUGGGGUUUGCCGCAACUGCAUAGCUUCGAUGGGGUUUGCCGCAAAAAAACAUAAAGGGUUCAUGAGGUUUUUGCAUUUCUUAUUUUUUUCCCUAGCAUGCAGUCGGGUCAUAAGAACAAAUUGAGCAAAUAUGGAUAGCGAAUAAACCUUGCUUCAGAAAUAGAAAAACGAAAAAAUAGGAAGGCGGCAAGUGUUACCUUGGGUGUUGUAGUUAGUGAUACUUGACAGAUCAAUCUGGGUUGGUUCUUUUGAUUUUCUCAAUUUGUUCGUCUAUCUCAAUACGCAAGUACAAGUUUGAAGUCGGGUCGUAACUACAAGUUUCAUAGUCGGGUCACAACUCUGAAUUUUCAUAGUGGAGUCACAACAACAAACUCCAUCAUUUAGAAAGAUGAUGAUUUUUCAAUAAAAAAAAUAAAAAAACAUGAGACAAGACCGGGAUUGAUCCUGUGCGCCAGAGGCAUCAUGCUGGUGACUACUGCUGAACUAAAUCAAAACUAAAAAAAGCAAAAACACUCGUUUUUAGGACAGCAAAGAGAACACUCCAUAAAUGUGUUAUGGCAACUAAAAUUAUGUUGUACAUGCCAGCCGAGUAAGACGUAUAUACUUUUCUUAUGGGUUAGUAUGUUUGCUCUAGCCAUCGGCGACAAGAGUAGUAAAAAGGCCAAGCCUGAAAAAGCAAUACGGCAUGUGGAAAUCAUGGGGAGAAUAAAAAAAAGCCAACCAACAUAUAUGAUGAUGUCAUGUGAAUGAGACCAUAGAUAAAUCUUAGCUAGCUGAGUUCUAGGUGCUCCCUAGAAUUAACUAGCAGGUAGUGCGCGGCGGCACGCCGCGCCACAUGAAUUGAAAAAAUAUUUAGUUCUUUUACAUAAUAUUUAAUAAAUCGUCUUAAAAUUUGAUUCGUGGUAAAGUAGUCGAUAAAUGAAAAGGAUAUGUCUAGUUGGAUCUACAAAGUUCUUGUUCUUUCCUUGGACCUAGGAUAUUGAUCCUCUAGCUGAGUCGAUGUACUGGUUUUUUUUAGAAAAGGAGGAUGACCCCCGGCAUCUGCAUCUGGAAGAUGAAUGCGGUCAUUUUAUUGAUUAUUUUCGAGAACCUUACAAAACAGUACAACAAUAUGCCUGAAUCCGUCAUCUUUGCAACAUUUGUCGCUACUCCUAUCCAUAUGAUGAAGGGGUGCAAGCUGGACCAAAUACCCAUACCUCUCACCUAAGCCUAACUUCUAAAGCCGGAGACCCUGACCGGGCCACAUACCGGAUCCGGGGCACAAACCGGUCUGACACACUCACAUGUGUCAUCACCGCCAUCUUCCAUUGGUCCAUCUUCAUAUCAGAUUGAGGUACCAGCCUUGGCAGGUGUCUCCGCCAUCGACGCCACCAUGACGCCAAACGACAACCUCCACCUACGCGAGUCCAUCUCCAAGCAACGGACGGAGAUCCAUGCUAGGAUAGGGCCGCACCACCGCCGUUGCCCACCACCCACAAGCGCCACCCAGCCCCAAGAUUCCCAAAGAGGCGCCUUCAAGAAGGGAACGACGUUGUGAGCGCCGCCGCCGCCCAACAAAGUUAAGGCUUUCGCCCGGAAGACCUAGGGAAAGGGGAAGUGAGGGGAUCAGUCCAUACCGACGCCUCCAAGGAGGGGAACGGCCCCCUCAGGCGUCGCCGUCGACGCGGCCGGCCAUGGCCGACCAGGGAUUUCGCCCGAACUAGAUCCCCACCACCAGCAGCACCUCCUGUACAAAACCGACAAUCCAAGGAAGCGCGGCCUGACCAGGCUGGCCCGCACGCCGAGCAGGGGAGGAGGGGAGGCGCCAGAUCGCGCGCACCGACCACCGCAAAAGCUGCCGCCAGACGCCAACGACCACCGGGUCCCGUCGCCUGCGCGGCCGAGACGCCGGAUCCACCUCCCGCACGGCUGCUAGCCUGUCGUGCCUCGCCAAUGUAGCCGUCGCUCCAGAUCCGGGACUCCGCAUGCAGAGGCAGGGCAGCCUAGGCCCCGCCGCCACCAUCCUUGGCGUCCCGAGCUUGCCCGGCGGCUGCCUCAGGCGGCGGCGAGGAAGGGAGGGGGAGGGGGAGGCGGCUNNNNNNNNNNNNNNNNNNNNNNNNNNNNNNNNNNNNNNNNNNNNNNNNNNNNNNNNNNNNNNNNNNNNNNNNNNNNNNNNNNNNNNNNNNNNNNNNNNNNUUACAUAAAAGGUUUAAUACAUUAUUACAUUAUUGCACCAAUAUUCCUAUCUAUUAUUUCUGUUUUCUUCUGGGUCGUAGCCAUGGAGAAUCUUCAUCAUUCAGUAGGAUGCUUGGGUCAGUUUUCACUUUGAAGGGCGGAAUUUCAUGAAACUUAUUAUAAUCUUCUGACAUGUCUGUCUUGUCAUCUACUCCCACGAUGUUUCUUUUCCCUGAAAGAACUAUGUGGCGUUUUGGCUCAUCGGAUGAUAUCUUCUUUUGCUGAUUUCUUUUUCUCGUUAAUGUAGACAUGUCUUUCACAUAGAAAACCUGAGCGACAUCAUUGGCUAGGAUAAAUGGUUCGUCCAUGUAUGCAAGAUUGUUAAGAUCCACUGUUGUCAUGCCGUACUUUUGGUCUACAACUAACCCGCCUCCUGUCAGCUUCACCCAUUUGCACCGAAAUAAAGGGAUCAUAAAAGUAGGUCCAUAGUCAAGUUCCCAUAUCUCCUCUAUGUACCCGUAAUAUGUUUCCAAACAGUGCCCAUUCUCGUCUGUUGCAUCAAAGCGGACACCACUAUUUUGGUUGGUGCUCUUUUUAUCUUGGGCAACCGNNNNNNNNNNNNNNNNNNNNNNNNNNNNNNNNNNNNNNNNNNNNNNNNNNNNNNNNNNNNNNNNNNNNNNNNNNNNNNNNNNNNNNNNNNNNNNNNNNNNUUGUAAUGGAGCUUCGCCGGAGCAUCGGUGCUGUGUUGGAGCUCCACCGGCUGCAAUGGAGUUUUUCGAAGUUGCAAUGGAGCUCGUCGGACGCUGUCGGUGCUGCAUUGGAGCACCAUGCGGCCUCUGUUCCAUGUCGGGAAUUUAAUCUGACGAUGAGGGCUCGUUCAAUCGGACGGCUACCUAGGAGGAUUACGACUGGUACAAAUAGCAGCCGCCUUUGGAAAAUGGUCACAACUCGUGUCCGAAAAAAUAUUACUUAAAGCAUCUACAAAGGCAACUUGUAAAUUCGUUCUAUCAAAUGUAUGCAGACACGCCUAAACUUAGAUGUACUGUUCCUUCAUUUUAAAAUAUGUCUUUUUAAAAGAUUUCAAUGAAAACUACAUGUGGAUGUAGAUAGUAGAGUGUAGAUUUAUUUAUUUUGCUUCACAUGUAAUUUAUAUUAAAAUCUGUAAAAAAGACUUAUAGUAUUUAGGAACGAAGAAAGUAAUCGGUUAGCCCGACAUAAAGUUGUUAAUAAUAUACUCCCUUCGUCUAAAAAAUAAGUGACUCAACUUUACACUAACUUUAGUAUAUAAAUUAAAUUAUUUUUGAGUCAUUUGUUUUAAAACGAAAGGAGUAAUACUCAUCUACUCUCUCCGUAAACUAAUAUAAGAGUGUUUAGAUUACUAUUUUAAUUAUCUAAAUACUCUUAUACUUCAUCCGUCUUAAAAUUCUUGUCUUAGCUUUUAUCUAGAAAUGAAUGUAUCUAANNNNNNNNNNNNNNNNNNNNNNNNNNNNNNNNNNNNNNNNNNNNNNNNNNNNNNNNNNNNNNNNNNNNNNNNNNNNNNNNNNNNNNNNNNNNNNNNNNNNNNNNNNNNNNNNNNNNNNNNNNNNNNNNNNNNNNNNNNNNNNNNNNNNNNNNNNNNNNNNNNNNNNNNNNNNNNNNNNNNNNNNNNNNNNNNNNNNNNNNNNNNNNNNNNNNNNNNNNNNNNNNNNNUAUAUCUUGUAAGAAAUUAGUAUAUCUUUGGUGAGGAAAUUGGAACACAAGGUUGCAUGCAACGUGCCUGGCUGGCUGGACGGGAGAAGACAGAAGAGCUCUGUAACAAGAGAAGAAAGAAGAGAAGCAAGGAAGGUGGCUCUUGUUACCGGCGAUCAGUGGCCGGUCCAACUCCAUGGCCGGAGCUUCCGCCGGCGGCUUCGUCGGCCUCGGACUCCACCCACCACCGGUGCCUGUGCCGGUGCGACCGCGCGUCCGAGAGAGAGAGAGAGANNNNNNNNNNNNNNNNNNNNNNNNNNNNNNNNNNNNNNNNNNNNNNNNNNNNNNNNNNNNNNNNNNNNNNNNNNNNNNNNNNNNNNNNNNNNNNNNNNNNNNNNNNNNNNNAGAGAGAGAGAGAGAGGGACCGUGCUUAUAUAUAUGUAUGUAGGAGAUGAAGCGAGACUCAGUCAAGCAGUCUCUCCCCUCGAUGGGACUGCUACAGAUCGAAACCGCGUGCGGUGGGCAGGUGGAAGGGGGAGCUGACCGCAGUCCGCAGGUCAUCGCCUGACCACUGUUUUGUACCACCACUAACAUAACACUGUAAACCAGCGUUGCUCUCUCGGCUUUAUUGCACAACAGCAAGUUGCCAUCGCGUCAUCUAAGUGAGCUCGACCAAGCCGGCGUCGUGGCAGAAUCCGGUGCUCGCUUGACCGGACCCGCUCCCCGCGCGCGCGUGCCUUUCCUCCCAGUAGCUCGUAUUUGACCCGCUCCUAAUGAUCGUUUCUCUCUCUCUCUCNNNNNNNNNNNNNNNNNNNNNNNNNNNNNNNNNNNNNNNNNNNNNNNNNNNNNNNNNNNNNNNNNNNNNNNNNNNNNNNNNNNNNNNNNNNNNNNNNNNNNNNNNNNNNNNNNNUCUCUCUCUCUCUCCCUUUUGAUUUCUUUUUUCUGCGGUAGCAUGCAUGACAAUCCGUCCUGCCGUAGGCAGAAUAUAUUCGUGGACGCACUCCACGCACGUGGCAAAUACUACUCCCUUCGUUCUUAAAUAUAAAACAUUUUAAAAAUCUCACUAUAAACUACAUGCAUACGGAGUAAAAUGAACGAUAUAUAUCCGUUUGCAGUUUCUAAUGAAAUUUCUAAAAGGUAUUAAUAUUUAGGAACGGAGGGANNNNNNNNNNNNNNNNNNNNNNNNNNNNNNNNNNNNNNNNNNNNNNNNNNNNNNNNNNNNNNNNNNNNNNNNNNNNNNNNNNNNNNNNNNNNNNNNNNNNAGGUGCUACCUUCCGGGCGCGCAUCUUGGUGAAGAACUAGGUUCCCGUCGUCGACCGAGAACUUCUUUGGUGGCGGUCACAUGGACGACUUUAGGUGCGGAGGCAGCCGGCCCCCGAGGAGGAGGUACAUCGCCGUGUCAGGGAGGAGGACGAACACGUCCAUCGCUACAUUGAGGCGUUUGGCGUCAGGUUCUCUGAUACCUGGCAGGUUCUUCAGGGAUCUCACCCGAGCUAUGAUCCUCUGAUGGUUCCUUCUCUUUGGGUGUCCAUCGUCCGCGCCUCAGUACAUCGAUAGCUCUUUGGGUGGUCUGUUUAAUAAUAUUCGAGAUAUGUAUUAGUGAUAAUACUCGAGAUGUAUUCGACAAAAUAUUCUGUGAUGCAUUAAGUGGAUUAUUUGAUGUAUUACUGAUAUUAUAUAUGAUGAUCUUGCUAGCUAAAGUGAAUACUAGAUUGUUUUAUCUUUCUUCUUGAUUAGUUAAGCUAUGGACGGUAGAGACAGAGACCAUGAUCAAGAGUAUGUCUUGUUCGACAUGAUAUGCUCCGGAAACAAAAAGAAUUAAGAAGCAGAUGAUGGCUCACAAUAUCUUAACCUAUCCAGUGAGGGAAUAGAGGAAGAACAACCAAGAGACGAAGGGGAACCUGACAAUGUAUUAAUUGAUUUACACACACACACACACNUAUAUAUAUAUAUAUUAACGAAUCUCUUCUUUUAGCCCUCCGGAUCGAGCAAACCUUCUACAAGAAGGGCAAUACGAGGCCCGGCCAAAAAGUUGCCCGAGGGCACAAGGUACAACAUCGACGAGAUAACAUUAGGGGGUGAACCAAAUGCCCCCAAAAAGAAUAUGGACAAAUUUGUUCGUCAAUGCAGAGUUAUUGUUAGGGACCAAAUCCCGAUCUCCAUUCAACCAACCGGUCUUGAGAUUAAGGUAGUCAGUCUAAACACCUCAUUAUCGACGGAAACGAAUAUUCUGUUGGAUCUGUAUGCAAGAAGGAAACACAGUUGGAUUGGGAGGCAGGGAAAACAACAUCUUCUGUAGUACAUAGAUUUAUUUCAUAGACACCUUUGCAUCGGAUCGGUAGGAGAUUGACGGUAGUGCAGAGUAGGAGAUGGGGAUUACCUUCUCCCUGGCUCGAAGAGCUCGCCCCAGAGGCCAUGGUAGUGGGGCGUCGGUGAUGACGACUGAGAACGAUGUGGUGGCGGUGGUGCUUCCCGUGAGCACUACGCUAGUCCUAGUUUGGAAGGGUUUGUCGGUGGGGUGUGUGGUGGCGGCGAAUCUCAUAGUCCGUGCCCCAGCCCCCCACCUCUGUUAAUAUAGCGCGGAUCACAGGGGCCCACCAACCAUAAUGGGUGUGGCGCCCCCGAUCAGGGCNNNNNNNNNNNNNNNNNNNNNNNNNNNNNNNNNNNNNNNNNNNNNNNNNNNNNNNNNNNNNNNNNNNNNNNNNNNNNNNNNNNNNNNNNNNNNNNNNNNNGUGCGCGUAGGAAAAAUUUUGUUUCCCAUGCGACGUUCCCCAACAGAAAUAAGUACCAGUACCUGAGAUUUUGAUGGUCUCUAGGAAUGUGAAAAUUAGAUACUUGUGACUGCUAUAAAGUCUAUGUUAGNNNNNNNNNNNNNNNNNNNNNNNNNNNNNNNNNNNNNNNNNNNNNNNNNNNNNNNNNNNNNNNNNNNNNNNNNNNNNNNNNNNNNNNNNNNNNNNNNNNNNNNNNNNNNNNNNNNNNNNNNNNNNNNNNNNNNNNNNNNNNNNNNNNNNCUAACAUAGACUUUAUGAAGGGUCUACAAGGCAAAUAUGACUCCAGAGGAAAUAUGUAAAUGUGUAAAACAUGACUUAAAUCGAAAUAUUUUGUGCAAAGAAAAUGAGAGGACAAUUGCAUUCUUGCAAAGUUAUAGAAUGGGAAAUUUGUUUCCCAAUUCCUAUGCAUGUGGAUGAUGUCCUACUUGCUAGUGGUGAUGUCAAUCUACUGCAGGAGGAGAAAAGAAGUUCUUGUCCUCAAAGUUCAAAAGAAUAAAAGGGGGUAUUAGGAAUGUUGCAUGGACAUGCUAAGAAAGAUCUCUAAAGUAUGCAUACGACAAAACCUACGCAUGUUCUUAUAGUCAAGGGUAAUGGAAGUGGAAACUAUGGUGUUCCAAAAGUUAAUAAGAAAAGAUUGUAAACGGAUAUGGUACCAUAUGCUUCAGUUGUUGGAAGCUCAAGAUAUUACCCUGACACUGUUCACGUAUAUAUCCGGGUUGUUUUGGCAAUGUCCAGUCCAUAGAUAAAUCAAUGGAAUGGAGUCAAAGAUAUCGGCCUCAUGCUAAAAGAAAUAAGUGCUCUCAAAAGAUUGUGAGUACAAAGGCAGGACUUGUGAAAUGAAUAGCGAAAUCAACAAUUGUCGCUAACUUUCAUACUCGGAGUUUUGUGUGGAAAAUCUCCAAAUGAGUGAAACGAUUGUCAUCAAUGUGAUGCAAUGAUAUGUUAUAACUUUAUAUGAGGCUGAGGGAUAGGCGAAAUGGUUAAUGGCUACAUAUACCCGGAAUUGAUAAUGGUUGACAACAACGAUAACUAUUUUAAAUUCUUUCGCUCCUGUCACAACGAGUCAAGUGUUGAUGCCAAACACACUGACAAAGAGUUAUGUGUUGUGAAGGAGAAAGUCCAGAAUUAUGAAAAAAUGCUUGAAGCAUAAAAGCAACAAACAAGUGUUUGCAGAUCUGCUUAUCAAAGGCUUACCGCCCCGUGUGUUCGGAGAACACACAGUCGACAUGGGUUUUAUGGUAUAGUCUAAUAUUUUCCGGACAAUAAAGGGCCCAAGGUUAAAGAAUCUGUCUCAAAAUAGAGAGGUACAUUAUGGAUGUCUGAUUCCAUCGGCAAUUGAGCCGUGACGAUGAAACAUGCCCUAUGUAUUGAUCUGUUACGAAACGGGUAAAAGUAUAUGAUGACAUCAAGGGGGAGAAUGUUAGAUUGAUCUCUUUCCUAAUGGGCCCAACGGCCCAUUGGACCUUGACUCACGCCCUGAUCAGGGGCGUCCAGCCCAAGCAAGGCUGGUGGGCCCUGUCGCGCAGUGUUGUAUAUAGAGGAGGUGGGGACCAUGGCACAGACUACAAGGUUCGCCGCCGCCACUGGUUCCCCACUCCUAACCCUAAUCCGAUCUAGAGGGAUGCACUAAAGCGAUGGGAAGUCCACCGCCGCCGCUACCGCAUCUCUCUCUGGUUCCCCACCGUCGCCACUACGUCACGACAGUCACCGAGGGAACUCAUCGAGCACGGGAUAAGGUAACAUACCACUACUCUCAUCGAACACAUCUAGACUUGUCGAUCCACGGGAUCUAUCAAACCGUGCAUACCCUUGAGCAUUAGCCAAGUUUAUAUCUACUUAAUUAUUGUGACAAAUAGAAGUGGAUAUUCAUUUGUGUCAGAUGGGGAGAAAAUAUAAAUAAUCUUUGUGUUCUUUUUCCUUUUUAGAAACAGGCAGGUAGUUAGUAUCUUGCCCGGAUACUAUGUAUACAGCCAGUAAAGAUCAACCAUAUAAUUUUCCUAUGUAUGGACUGAUACAAAAAUUAUUAAAAAAUAAGGUCUAGAUUUUAAACCCUAAACCGGUACAAUUAAUAGCACAGAUCCUUUAUCAUAUACUCCCUCUUUUCGGAAUUACUUGUCACACAAAUGUAUAAGAAUAGAUGUAUCUAAAACUAAAAUAUAUCUAGAUACAACCAUUUAUGUGACAAGUACUUCCGAAUGGAGGGAGUAUUGUAAGAAUCACAAUAAUAUAGAUAAUUUAACACCUUAGUCUUGUAUCACAGAUUCGACAGCAAAAGAAUUGUCAUUUACUAAAUGAAAAGCCUAACUGCAGUUAGCAGUAAGAGUGGGCAUCUAAACAAUUAUUAUACACACCUCUAACCUGAGAGUGCUUGGUUCACAGAAAGCCUUUUAUGUGUAUGCAAAUGUAAAUUUCUCCCAGGAAAACAUCAUUUGAGAGCAUAUCAAAGCAUACAUAUUAUGUACUAUCUGCAUAAGUGCAUAACCUGAUUUUGUUUGAAGAAAAUGAAAACCAUGAAUGACAAAUUGAAAAGCUCACGGUACCUAAGAAAUUAAUGAACAGGAAUUUGAUUUCCCCUCACACAUUAACACAAGCAUGGUACCAGCAGGUUAGAUCGAGGCACAAACGUCAACCAGGGAAGCACGUGAAAUAAAAGAGGAAGGGCACUACAAGAGAAAAAGAGUUAUAUCUAACGGGCGGACAGCCGGAGCUUCUUUGUAGCUCCCGUGGCCACAAUCUCGCAGCGGAGGCGCGCAACAUGUUGAUCCCGUGGCGGACCACGAGUGCACGGUAGCAGCAGGCCGCAACAGCUCCACGGCGAUCGAGCGCAUCCUGCAUUGAUGCUAGGGACGUCGUAUGCACGCGCGUUGCCGGUCACCAAAAAGGCGACGUUGGGCGGAAGCAAGGAGUGGCGGAGAGGAGAUGGGGAGAGGACGGUCAGGGGCGCCGCGCCCGUAGGUGAGGUGAGGUGAGGUGAGAGCCCGGCUGUGGAGCUCUUUACGAGUGACAUAUUGAUCUUUGAAUUUGGCAUAAUUUUUUAUGAGCACCCAACAAUGCGUGAGGAUGAGUGGCUUGUUCUUAUGUCGUGCCUUGAAAUCUUCAAAAGAUUAAAAUGCCUACACAACAUGAAUGGACACAAAAUGCCUACACAAUAAAAAGCAUGCCAACAUGAAUGGACACAAAAUNNNNNNNNNNNNNNNNNNNNNNNNNNNNNNNNNNNNNNNNNNNNNNNNNNNNNNNNNNNNNNNNNNNNNNNNNNNNNNNNNNNNNNNNNNNNNNNNNNNNNNNNNNNNNUGAAUGGACACAAAAUAAAAAUGUGAGAGGUACAUACCAAGUCACCAACGCCUAGGCCACUCAUGGGACCGGCUUGGACGCUCUCAAGCGCGGCACAAUACUUGUUGCAUCCUUGUUGAAUGAAUCCCCAUCACUUUUGGAUUAAGUUGAUGUUGCGAGUACUCACAAUUUGGUAGGGACAAACUUCCUUCGCUCAUGGAAGGUACCCCUUGUCCAAAAGAUGGAUGCCUUUUGCUCGGCACCUUUUAUUGGAUCUUCCCCUAUCUCAAUCCAACUCUCGCAAAUCAAUUUAUCCUUAUUUUGGGUGUAUGACCCCACGCAAAUGAUUUGCCUCCUCUUUUGUGCCUCGGCCAUUUGAGUGAGCUCAUCGAUAAACACCAAUGCCUCUUGCAAAAUGUGGACCUUGUCUUCCUCAUUUUCACAAUAUAACUCAUCAUCAAUAUGCCAUGAGUUGACAUGGUUGUCCUUCUCUUCAUCAUGGCCGACGAAUUUAGUGUCCUCAUAGUGGUCGCGGUCGUCCUGGCUCUACCUCUCGUUGGGACCGACAGCCUGGCCUUGACCCUCGUAGUGAAAGGCCUAACCACGGCCCUCGUAGAUGACGCUCUCNNNNNNNNNNNNNNNNNNNNNNNNNNNNNNNNNNNNNNNNNNNNNNNNNNNNNNNNNNNNNNNNNNNNNNNNNNNNNNNNNNNNNNNNNNNNNNNNNNNNNNNNNNNNNNNNNNNNNNNNNNNNNNNNNCGAGCAAUCACGAUAGUCGGUUGUGGGCGUCGGAAGUGGUAUUGUGUCGAACAACUUACGGGCGUCGGAUAUGGUUGCCAUCGGGAAUGACCGGGGCUGCUUACUGUGUGUCCCGCCAGUCGUCUGGCCAGCGCCACUUUACAUCUGUACCUCGGCAUCAUGUUUUAGGUCGAUGACCCCCGCGGACGUGGCGGGAGCAACCACGUUGUACUCCGGCGGCGUGGAGAACCAUGUCUGCCCAUGGCUGUCCGAAGGACGGCACCCUGGCGUCUCGGGUGUGGUGGAUCUGUACUGAGGAGGACGAGCGGCCGACGGUCCCAUGCUCGCCGUGGCCAUGGCAGCGAUCGAGAGGAUGACUGACUGUAGUCCUCCCAACCCUAACAUGAGGAGGGUGUGCCCGUUGGAGAUGAUGGAUUCCUUGUUGUCAAUGUCGGCAAGAUGUUGCGCUUGACGCGGGGCGGCGGCCUCGACGACGUAGGCCGCAACCGCCAUCAUCUCUCCCACCUUUAAAUGCCAGUCCCUCCUCUUCGCCAAGUCGGCAUUGAGUUUGGCGAUGAUCGCCAACGUGAGCUCGGAGCGAGGCUUCCUGGGACCCUUGGGACCCUUUUCUUCGCCGUGAGGGGCGCGGCUGCUACCGCAUCGCCAGGGUUUAUUGCGUCGCCGUCCAUGAAGGAGGGAGGGGAAGGGACGCGCGAGAGAGUUUGAGCGAUAUGGAGAGAGAGUGGGAGGGGUGUGUCCCGGAUUGGCGUGCCAAAGGAGGACAAUGGCGCGCAUCAUGCCCGUCGGCGCGCUGUCUGUUUGACUGCAAACGCAACCCAAACUUGAACUCGAAAUGGGUUGAAAACUCCCGUGCGUUGGGCCGUGGUUUAUGCCUGUUUACAUCUAAACGAAUGCAGGCGGACGAGUUAACGUCGUGCCUUGUGGUUGCCUUAGAGCAACUCCAACCGGCCGACCCAAACGGACAGCGAUUUUGUUCGCUUUUCGUCCGUUUGGGUCAUCCAUCGGCUCCGUGUUCACCCGGGUUACGAUUUGAUUUGAGUCGGUAGCGUGUCCAAUGCGCCAACCCAUAUUUGUCCGUCUGGCCGGCUAGCGCCGGUUUUUGAACAAAUACGGAUAUUUUAUAUAUUUUGCAACAGCAAAUGAUAUAGCAUAGUUUCACAAUCAAAAAUAAAAUAUAGAAAAGUUUUUCAAACCCAAUAAAAGUUUAGAUUGUCUACAAAAUACAGCUAGUCAUUGCCAACAUCAUACCACAUAUGCUCAACCAAAUUAUCUUGCAACUGAAUAUGAGUUUCCAAAUUACGCAUUGCGUGAGGAAAUGGGAUGAACUGUGCAAACGAUGUCGCUUCUCCGCCAUGCUGAGGCACCACAAUGGGCGGCGGCGACGGCGAGGGGACUAGGACCGAGGCGAGGCGAGGGCUAGAUGCGGGUGGAAAACGACCAAUGUGCCACCGACUCGCGGGCCAGGGAAUGGUCGUAGUGUGCGUCGUCCGUGUCUGCUUUGUGUCCGCACCGAUUCAAAUCAGGCUCAAAAUUGGGUCGAAAAUGGAUCGGCAAGCGGAAAAAUGUGAACACGCGUCCGUUUAUGUCAGGGCGUUAGACCGUCUUUUAUAUCCGUGUGUAUCUAAAUGUACGGCGACGCAGGAAAUGUGUCGCUCUGUUGGAGUUGCUGUUAAAGAAAAACGGAGUAGGAGUGCAAUGACUUUCUUUUCUGAGCGAAGACAAGAUGUGUGAUAGUACAGUAAUGCUAGGCCUACGUAGCUAUAAUACAUAGACUAACCUAAUAGUUUAGGUGGCGUUUUUUAAUUUGAGAAAAUUAGGGAAGGGGCCCACCCAGUUGAAAUCAGGGCUGAAAGGAUUAGUAGUUAGUUAAGUUACGUAGUCUUAUGUAAAUUUUUAUGUAAGCGUAGCAUUUUUGCACGUGAAGCAGAGAGUUGUACAAAUGUUACUAGUAGCAGUUGUUUAUUCAAAAAUGCUAGACUUACGAAUUGUUUUACGUAAAGUUACGAACCUCUGGCAAGAUAAUAAGAUAAUACUCCUGAAGAUAAUACACGGCUACAUAAAUUAUUACUGCACAUCAUCAUCAGAUAAGUGCAUGAAGAAGAAGGAAGAAAACAAAAGAAAAAGUACAUGAAGGAGGAGAAGCGCACUACAUCAUUCGGCACUGCCCCUGUCACAGUGUCACUGAACACUAUACAGUCUAUCAUCAUUCAUUCACACAUUCAUCAGACACGUACGGCCGUCGAUCAGUUUAUUGCGCCCGCCCUAGCUAAUCACGGCGUCUAAUUAGUGGAAGGAGGUGUUCUUGAGGUGCUCCGGCGCGUCCUGGAAGGAGUGCUUUCUGGCCAGGGAGAGGAUGGUCUUGUCGGCGACGAUGAAGUAGGCCAUCCCCGCGACGGUGGAGAUGAUGAGCGCCUGCCCGGUCGGGUUCAGGUAUGCCUUGGCCCACGGCAGCAUCCUCACGCUCGCCAGCUGAAAUCAUGGAUAGCAGAUUCAUGAGACAUGCGAUCAACUAUGGAGCGCGCGAUCUCCUCCAACAACCAAAUGGCUAGCUUUCUGGAUACUUACUGUGGGCACUGCGGCUGCGACGGUGGCGACGGCCGCGGCCUUGGCUCCGGCCAUGGCAGCCUCUGCAGCACACACAUGUAACAUGUUAAUCGCAAUCAAGUUCCGACAGACACAGACAGCACAUAAAUAAGCCGCAAUGCAUAACGGAACCGGCCGUCGCUCGUUGGUUACCUACCUCUGGAGCAGCGCUUAGCUGCGGCGAGCCUCUGGUCGAGGUAGGCGCGGGUGACCGUCGACAUCUUCCUUCGCCGGGAGCAGAGCUUGGUUGUACGAGAUCGGAAGGAAGUGAACGAGCAGUAGCAGCAAAGCCAAGUGCAGUAGCUAAAAAGAUGAGUAAGUAGUAGUAGCAGUAGGUGGAGUGAGGUGCGGUGGGGAGAGCAAGGUGCUCCGGCGAGAUUUAUACGUAGUUCGCAUGAAACCGCGAAACCGGCGUGCCGGGAGGAAGACGGACUUGAUACGGUGGGAAUCAAGACCACGGUUUUGAGACGAGCGAGCGGUGGUACCGGCGGGAGGGCGCCUCGCUGCAGCAGAGCACAGCACAGGUGGCCGCGCCUCGUUCGUCGGUCGUAUAAAAAUGGGAGCACUCCACUACACUUUGCACUGGAUAAGAGGAGGCAUCGAUGGGGGGUUGGCACGGCGCUAGCGCGCGUAGGAUAACACGUAGGAGCAUGUGCGUGAACGCAGUGUCACUCAGCGUGCACUCCGUUUCGCUUCAGAUCUGUGUGUGUGCGGCGCGCUGCCAGUUUUCGGCCAACCCGUCGGCAAUCAGGCAAUUCCGCCGGCGGUUUGCUGAUUUGGAUCGUCUGUUUUUAUCGUCGGUUUGCUUUGGCACGCGCAUUUUAUCAGUUUUUCGUUAGUUUGGAUUGUUUAUUACGUGGAUUUUUUUUUUGCGACGAUUGUUUACGUGGAUUUGCGCGUCCGUAUUUUUACAUGGGUCGGCUUAAGCGUCCAAGGAAAGACUGAUCCAAAUUUAUUCGCGUAGAAAAAAAAUAACACGUCGAAGAAAAAACACGCGGUGGUGGAGGAGGCGGGAUGAAGAGCAGGGCAUGGACGGAGUCCCCUACCGCCGAACAAGCCGCUCCAUCCCAUCCCAUUGGGCCUCCUCGAUCUUGCUCGCCUCCAGUGCCUCAUGCACGACUCGCUCGAGGGCAGCUUGGUACGCCUCCUCUUCGUCCUCCUCGUGCAGCAGAACCUCAGGCAGCGGCGGAGGAACAUCGUAGUCAACGUGCACGACCCGGCGUCGCUCCUUCUCGUGCUCUAGCGCCAACCAACGCUCCCAGUUGGGGGAGUCUGGCGAGUAGGCACGCAUCUGCCGCUGCUCCAGAGUGAGGGUCUCACGACGCCGGAGAACCUCCUCGGCCUGCGCCCACGUCGAGCGUGGCACUGCUGGAAUAGGGACCCGUUGCGGAUGCAGAUACCAGUCGUGAGGCAGGUUGACAUCCGGAUACUGCACUGGCCGGUGGUACUGUCAGGGAGGAGCACUGCAUGGCCAGAUGUGGACGGGGGUUGUAAGUGGAUGAGGCCGUCCUCACCGCAUGCUUUCAUAAAAAAGGAAGGGCACAUGGACCGCCCACACACUACCAAGAGGGCCCCUAGGUAGGUGACGGCAUUUAAUAAGACAUGGCUGGUGGUUGGGCGGUGCACAAGUGGGACCGCGGCGGACAUAGACCGGCCGCGCGGCACGCCCGCAUCGCGUCUGCGUCGAUGCAUUUCAGACGCAAUUUUGGGUCGGAAAUAGGUCCGUGCGGACGCAAUGCGUACGGAUUUUGGGAAUGGGUCGCCGCGUUGGGCCGGCGCUUUUGUCUCUGCGACUCUAACGAACGUGGACGGACAAAAUGGGUCGCCUCGUUGGAGUUGCUCUUAUAUAUCCAAAUGGAUAUAUAUUAUCAUGAUUUAUUAUUGUUAACAUUAUCUUUAAGGUAAAAUAAGUUAAGUGGCAAAUUAUUUAAGCCCCAAUCUUCCUACAUGUCCUAUAUAAACAUGAGCUUCGAAAAUAUGUCUUGAGCGUGAGCAAUCAUAGAAGAUUAAAUGAUAGUUGAGUAUAUGAACGUGUAAAAAAACUCUUACAUAGACUUUUCUCUGAAAUAUAAUGAAUUAUGAUUGUCUCAAUGACUGAGAACAUUGUUUGUUGAUUGUCAAUAAAGUUUAUUCUUCUUACUCCAAUAUCUAUGAAUGGAUUAUUACUUGUUUAUGAGGAGCUAUAUAAUAAAAUACUUACUACUAUGUUAAUAUUCCUCAUGCUCUCAUGUUCGUAUUAUAUUUUUAUCAACACCUCUCUCUUAAAUCUUGUGGUAAUUAUUUUCAAGUUUGGAUUUUGCUUGAGGACAAGCAAGGUCUAAGCUUGCAAAAGUUGAUAAGUCCAUUUUGCAUCAUUAAUUAUUAUUAAUAUUUGUAUUAUUCUUGUCCAUUAUUUCUUAUUAUCACAUCAUUCUUAUGUCAUUUCUCUUUGAAUAUGUAAGGUAUAUCAUAAAGAGGGAAAUAUCUGGACAUUGAAAUUCUGAACCGGGAAACCGGAAAAAGGCAAAAAAAUCAAGAUGCUCCAAAUGGUGUGAAACUUGACGAAGAAUUUUUCCUUAAUAUUUAAAAAUUACUGGGUCAAAAAUAUGCCACAAGGGAGCCACCUAUUGGCGCCAAGGCAACAGGGCGCGACCACGCCCUUGUUGGCCCUUCUGAUGUCCCUCUCCUCUUAUAUGGCGUGUUUUGACCUAGAAAAAAUGAUAAGUAACCUUUCGGGGUAAAGCGCCGUCGUCUCGAGGCGGAAACCUGGGCAGAGGCCCUUUUUCUCUUCGACAGAGAGAUUCUGCCGAGCAAACUUUCCUCCAGGAGGGGAAAAUGAAAGUUAUCAUCAUCACCAAUGUUUCCUCCUUCGUGGAAGGACCGAUCUUCAUCAACAUCUUCACCAUCAUCAUAUCGUCUCCAAACCUAGUUCAUCUCUUGUAUUCAAUCUUUGUCUCGGGACCUCAGAUUGGUACAUGUGGGUUAUUAGCUGUGUUGAUUACAUCUUAUAGUUGAUGCUUAUUGGAUUACUUGGUGGAAGACAUUAUGAUCAAAUCCUUAAUUAUUAUUAUUACACCUCUCAUCUUGAAUAUGUUGAUGAGGUGCGAGUAGUAACUAUUGUUCCCGGGGACAUUGGAGAAGUCUUGUUAUAAAUAAUCAUAUAAUGUUGGUAUUCGCUCGAUAUUUUGAUGAUAUGUAUGUUGUUAUUUCUUUUAGUGGUGUCAUGUGAACGUCAACUACAUGACACUUCACCAUGUUAUGGGUCCAAGGAAAGUCAUUAUGGAGUAACAAGUAGAUGAUGGAUUGCGAGACUGGCAGAAGCUUAAACCCCAGUUUAUGCAUUGCUUCAUGAGGGGCUGAUUUGGAUCCACACAUUUAAUGCUAUGGUUCGAUUUAUCUUAAUUCUUCUUUUGUAGCUGCGGAUGUUUGCGAGAGAGGGUAAUGAUAAGUUGGUUUCUUGUUCAAGUAAGAACAACACCUUAACACCGGUCUAUCCACAUAUAAAAUUAUCAAAGUAGUGAACGCGAAUCAACUCAAUAUGAUGAAUAUGACUAGACGGAAAUUCUCAUGUGUUCACGGAAGCAGUUGCUUCAUAUAAAAGUACUUUCAGGCCUGUCAUUUGCUACAAAAAGGAUUGAGCUAUCUUGUUGCACAUUUGCUACUAUUGUUACUUGUCACUUAUUAUGAAUUAUCUUGCUACAAGACUAUCUAUCACUGUUACUUAUAGCACUUGCAGAUAAUACCUUGCUGAAAAUCGCUUAUUAUUUCCUUCUGCUCCUCGUUGGUUUCGACACUCUUAUUUAUAGAAAGAACUAUGAUUGAUCCCCUAAACUUGUGGGUCAUCAGCCCUCCAUGUCCAGGCAAGACCCAUGUGACCUUGCUGCCGCACGCGCCACGUCGUCGCUCGACACUACCAGUCGGCACCAACGCCACCGAGCGGGAGGAGAGGAGGCCCCGUCGCUGCCCGGCACUACCAGUCAACACUAACGCCGUCGAGUGUGGGGAGAGGAGCCCCUUCGCCAUCGACGCCAGUCGGGCUUUGCCCCAUGGCAGCAAGGAGAAGAGAGGGUGCGGCCUCCGCUGGCGGCUAGGUCCCCUCCCCUCUCUCUCAGUGUCCAAUUCACUCCAAAUCACAUGAGUUCAUUCAUCAAUUUUUCUUUGAAAGUUUUGCUGCCUCAUACAUGUGGACUGUGAUCAACACAACAAUUCAGGCUUGCACUUUGUUUUACUUAAUAUUUUCACUGUGCAGCUAACAUCGUAACUCUUAGUGCUAACAUCAAUUUUGUAGGAAGCAAAUUCCUUAUGGUAUAGGAAAGGUUCUACUACUCCCUACUAAAGUUGCGACCAUUAACUUGGAUCGGAUGGAGUAACUUUCUUUCACUAUCAGUUGGAUUGGAUCUUUUUAAACAUUCUUGCUGCAUUAGAUAAAAAGCAAUUAAUUUUUUCUGUUAGCAUGUAUUCAUAAAAAUAAUAAAUAAUGUAGAGUUUGGUAUCACUUUUGUUCAACAAGCCUUUUGCCAUUUCACUAUUUGACUAACCAAAAUUUCAAAUUGUAGGGACUAGUUUGCCAACGUAUUAUAGAAAAAGUUCAACGCGCAUAGUUUUAUAGCCAUAAAUCAAACCUUGUCCUAAAAAUUUCAACAUACGUUUUAGACGCGUUUGUCUUUUAUAAAGGCAUCUCACAAUACACUUGGGCACGUGUAUACGAUACAAGGAUAGAAUAUUUUAUUAAUGCUCGUCAUGAAUGAAAUGUCAAGUAUGUCCCUAUUUCUAGUGACAAACGCCUCAAAUUAAUCCACAGGACAGUAACUCCAGUAGUAUAGGCUAUAGGAAUGUGAACCUAAUAUGGCUAAACUUUUCUUUCAGAUUUGUCUUUUUGUCACAUUUUUUGUUAAACGUGCCGCAUUUUUUUUAAUGUUUACAUGUCACACCCUCUCAAGUAUAAACCUUGGCCGUGGCUACCGAGCGCAGCAAUGUCCGCUCACGGUGGUAGCGGACGCACCCGAGAACAAUCAACCACGUGUACUUAUUAGCGUUUAAAAAAAUUCAAAAAAUCGUAACUUUUGAACCGAGCAUCAAAAUGACGAUACGUUUUCACGGUCGUGUUUCUUAUGACGAGCUCUUCAAAAUUAGAUUCCAUAUGGAUAGAUUUCUACGAACUUUUUUUGAGCAAAUUUAUGUGCUAGAUGAGGCAAUUUUAGUGCUAUAGGCAAGCAACUCCUUUCCCCCCUUAGUAUGACUAUCUACCAGCGAAGAAUUCUUCUAAGUUGGUUACCACUGAGUAACAAUUGACUAGUUGCCUAUGAUUGAUGUUCACUUGCCUACAAAUGCUGUGGAAUUGUUCGAUUUUGAUGCUCAGUUGCCUNNNNNNNNNNNNNNNNNNNNNNNNNNNNNNNNNNNNNNNNNNNNNNNNNNNNNNNNNNNNNNNNNNNNNNNNNNNNNNNNNNNNNNNNNNNNNNNNNNNNNNNNNNNNNNNNNNNNNNNNNNNNNNNNNNNNNNNNNNNNNNNNNNNNNNNNNNNNNNNNNNNNNNNNNNNNNNNNNNNNNNNNNNNNNNNNNNNNNNNNNNNNNNNNNNNNNNNNNNNNNNNNNNNAUUAUGAUGCUCAGUUUCCUAUUACUGAUGGUCAAUUGCCUAUGGUUGAUGUUCAGUUGCGUGGCAUUAAUGCUCAGUUGCCUUCUAUUUAUGAAUAGUUGUCAUAAUUGCACUCUAGUAUCACAAAAAAGUUAGCAACUUUUAGUGUGUUUUUUGCGCAACUCCAGUGCAUUUCAACAAGCAACUCAUGUGUAUACACACAAUGCAAUUCAUACAUCAUCAAAGUUGUUUCUGUUUAGUACCAAAGUUGCCUCAUACAGCAUCGAAGUUGCUUUUGAAAAAAAUCUUCAAAUCAUAUUCAUAUGAGAUCUCGUUUUGAAGAGUUCGUCACGAGGAACCCAACGAUGAAAACAUAUCAUAAUUUCCACACACGGUUUGAUAGUUAUAUCUUUUUGAAUUUUUUUCGUACAGGAAUAAAUGGACAUCCAACGCAUGCGGAGCCGAGCAUGCACAUCCGACCCAUAAUUUAGCCUUUUCAGUUUGGAAAUUUCAGACUUCAUUUGUCAUGUGGUUGCUAAAGGGUGAAGUUAUUUAACCUUCUAGUCAUGAUAGAUAAUUUAAAAAAUAAUGUUGAUAGGCGAUCAUAUUACGCGCAUUAAUAAAAAUUAUUUCUCUUUAACACUAAAAUUGCCUAAACAUUACUCCACGGUUGCUUAAAAAAAGUUUAUCAAAAUAUAUCCAUAUGGGAUCCAGUUUUAAAGAGCUCGUUGUAACAAACACAACCGUGAAAACAGAUCAUUGUUAUGAGGCUCGGUUUAAAGUUAUAGUAUUUAAAAACAAAACAGAAUAAACUGGAAUGACUUGCUGCAUAUAGGAUGUGAUCGUUUCAACCAAAUAGUGCAGCUGUAUUUUUAUUAUUUAAGAUAAACCUUGUGCUAAAAAACUAUGACGAGUGAGGUGGCACGGUCGGGAUAUGCGGCGCAGAACAUGGGAGGGGCGGGGGGGUCAAAGAAUUCAGUGCUCGUUACGUCUUUUUACAUGCUCUGGCACAUGUAUAAGAUGGGUGAUGGCUGGCUGGAUAAGGGAGAAGCAGAGUUGAACAGAUGCAAGUCAUUAUUAAUUCAAGAUUACUGGCUGAAUACAUUAUGAUUACUUCAUCAGACAAGUGCCUGCACGGACAGAGGCGCAAGGCCUGAUCUGCAUCGCCUCGCUGAACAUUAUACUCGUACUACGUGAGUAUCUUUCAGCAAAAACGUACAUACAGCCCAAUAAUUAGUGGAAUGAGGUGUUCUUGAGGUGCUCCGGCGCGUCCUGGAAGGAAUGCUUCCUGGCCAUGGAGAGGAUGGUCUUGUCGGCGACGAUGAAGUAGGCCAUCCCGGCGACGGUGGAGAUGAUGAGCGCCUGACCGGCGGGGUUCAGGUGCGCCUUGGCCCACGGAAGCAUCCUCACACUCGCCAGCUGCAGAAAAAGGCACGGAAGAAGAAGACGGUGAGAUGAUUAUUCGUUCGACGUCAAAAACUCAGUGGUGCAGGCUGAUAAACGUGUGCUUACGGUGGGCACUGCGGCGGCGACGGUGGCGACGGCCGCGGCCUUGGCUCCGGCCAUGGCAGCCUCUGCAGUUACCAAUCAACACAGGCGUGUUAGUUUGGGUCUAGUUCCAGGCUUUCAGUAGACAGGACUGCACAUAACUGCAAUGCACUCCUAGAAUAGAACGGCGAGAGCAUUGCCGGCACAGUGAACCGGCGGGGCAUCAUAUCGUUUUGGUUACCUCUGGAGCAGCGCUUGGCUGCGGCGAGCCUCUGGUCGAGGUAGGCGCCGGUCACCGUAGACAUCUUNNNNNNNNNNNNNNNNNNNNNNNNNNNNNNNNNNNNNNNNNNNNNNNNNNNNNNNNNNNNNNNNNNNNNNNNNNNNNNNNNNNNNNNNNNNNNNNNNNNNNNNNNNNNNNNUCACCGUAGACAUCUUCGCCGGAGCAAAGCUUGGUGGCAGGAGACCCGAAGGAAGUGAACUACUCGUGACUUCUUAGGCCCUGUUUUGUUACAAAUAAGUCACCAACUUAUAAGUUAAAAAUGCAAAAAAUGACUUAUUUUGCCAAAAGGGCCUAACUUAUAAGUCAUAAGUUGCGAUACCCUAGCUUAAAACUUAUAAGUCACUUACUUUUUGAUGGGUCCCACCACCUUUUCAGCCGUGCCCACCGCCCACCCGUGCCCACCGCCCCAUCCGCUCCCCACCGCGUAGCGCGCCUCGCCGCCGCUCCCACCGCGCAGCGCGCCUUGCCGCCGCCGAGCUCCAUCCCCACCCACUGCGCAGCGCGCCUCGCCCAUCCCUCCCCACCGCGCACCGCUGCUGCCCUCGCCGCCGCUGAGCUCCAACGCGAGCUCGCUCGGCUCGCCCAGGCCAGAAGCGCGGUNUUAUAAGUCAGGUGACAACCAAACAAGGAUGACUUAUAAGUCACUGGUUUUAAGUCACCUGACUUAUAAGUCACCUGACUUAUUGGAACCAAACAGGGUCUUAGUAACAGUGAAGUGUGUGAGGCAAGAAGAUGAGUGGUGGUGUGUGAGAUGAGAUGGGGCAGAGCUCGGUGCUCCGGCCGGAUUUAUAGGCCGCAGGAAACCGCGAAACCGGCGUGCGGAGAGGAAAGCGAGCUGAUACGAUACGAUGGGAAGCGAGACCGUGGUUUCGAGCCGAGCGGGUGGCCGGUGGCCGGCGCUGCUCUGCGGCAGAGCGCAUGUGGCGCCGCCUCCUUUAACCUGGUCCGCAUAUAAAAAACCACCCCACGCGCCUCGUCACUGAUUCUUUUUGGUGGGCACUGCGCUGCGCUGCAAGUGGAUAAAGAUAAGGAAUCAAUCGAUCGGGGUUGGCGUGUAGGUGCUGCAUCAUAUAUAGGAGCAGGAGUAUGUGAGUGAGUGUGCCCUUGGCGCUCCCUGUUUUCGGCCAAUAAUCCUACACCUAUGUAAUUUGGUUACAUAAUCUUACUUAACCUUCGUAAUCUAAAUCUUCACCGUCCCUGAUUUUCGUGGGGUGAGGCCUGGGCUGUUUUUUCAUCCAAUCUAAUCAUGACAAAUCAACUACCACGCGUAACUUUACCUAGAAUCUCUAGGUAGGUGUAGCAAAGCCCGUUUUCGGCCAACCCGUCCGCAAUCCAAUUCCGCCAGCGGUUCCCUGCAAAUCCUUUGUUGAUCGCAUGCUCGGAAAUACCUCGUCCGAUUAGCCAGUAGAUGGAACUCUUGAUUUCGGUUAUUAUUUGUAGUAUAUAGUAUGAUAUAUGUUAGCAAGUAUAUGAACAAGUUCAAUGUUAAAUUGAUGAUUUUGAAUUUUAAGAUUUUGUAGAUUUAGAUGUAUAAUGAUUAUUAAUUUUAUCUCUUGUCUUUAUUUUAUAUGCCUACAGUAGAAUAUUUUGAUAUAUUACAUAGCUAUAGGUGCAUGAAGUAUGGUAUAAUAAAUAAAAAGUAUAGAUAUAAAUUGGCAAAUUUCUAUUUAAUCUACUGACAAUGGUCGACCGAUUAAUUCAGUUUAUAGGCUCAUUCACUGAUUAAUCGUUACUCUCAAGCAGACCGAGAAGCUACUAGUUACCGAUUUCUUGAACAUUGAAAAUACAUAACGUUGAUCACCUAUCCAAAUAACGUAAAGGUUUUCACUAGCCAGUCCUGUCAUCGCUUGCAGUCGCACCACCACCCUAGAUCUUCCAUCGUCGCAAAUCUCAACCCUGACCAAGGUUUUGGCUACCGAAUACCAAGGAAAUGUCAAGAAGGGGCCGAGAAAUGCGGCUACCAAAAAAUACCAAGUGGAUGCCAUCCAAAACUUCCAAGUGUGUUUCAAAUUAAGAAAAAUUGAGCUAGGUACGUACAACUAUGUGCCAUGCUCAAUUUAGUCAGGAAUUUGCUAGCAUCACAAUGGUUGUCUUCACGCAUGUCAAGGACUGAGGUGUUCAGUGUUCGGUCACUGACCAGUAAAGAAAUAGCAACCUAGCCAGCUCUGUGAAGUUGGUCCUAUAAGUCUGGAUUGACCGACACCUCUUACAUAUAAACCUUAUCCAAGACAGAUAUUGGGCGGCCCAAAUGCAUUGGAUCUGAGAGACGGGACCUACCACAAAUUUCAUCAAAUCUUCCAAACCUGGCCAUACAUGUCUUUUUCCUCUCCUCUCUUCUCCCUCGUUCGCGAUGGCCCUUCCCUAGCUUUUCAGCCACCCUAGAUUCGAUGUCGUCUUGACCCCAUAGCGCGAGUAUCACCACCACAAAACUCCUCCUGCCAUGGUACAUACCACUCUUCCCGUCGUACACCUUGCCCUCCAUGUGUUUGAUAAUGUCAAUGCAAUUAUUUUGGAUUCUUUUGUGGAAAAACAAUGGAUUCGGUCUUGUCACAUGAGUAGUAUAAAGGCUAGGAGCUUGAUGUAUUCAUUCACAAGUUCAUGAAUUCAUCAAAAUCAGAUGACGAAGAUGCUACAUUAAUGAUUGUGAUGAUUAGCUUCGAGAAAAUGGAGAUAAAAGCGUAGUAUAUUCUGAACUUCAAAAGUUCAAUCAAAGGGAAGAUAGACCUAAACUAGGAUAAAGCCGCUGGCUCACGACGGCCGCUCUACAAGUACUACAUCCUAACCGGAUCAACAUUUCCUGAAAUAUGCGUCAACACUUUCGUAUGUGCAAACACUUGUUCUAGUGCGCGGUUAAUGGAGUGAAGGCACAUGAUCCAUUCUCUCUUUUGUUGAAAUGCACAACUGCUCUAAGGAUUAUCAUCUAUUUUCUUUAAAGACUUUCUUUAUUUGCCACGCCAUGUAUUAAACUUUAUGAAAAUACUACCUCCAUCCCAAAAUAAAUGUUACAAAUUUAAAAUAACUUUAUACUAAAGCUAGUACUACCUUCCCAAGUAUAUAGGACAUGCGCGUAGUUCUAGCUUGUUAAUUUAACUACUCCCCCGUUCUUAAAUAUAAGUCUUUUAAGCGAUUUCACUAAGGGUCUACAUACAGAGCAAAAUGAUUGAAUCUAUACUCUAAAGUAUGUCUAUAUACAUCCAUAUAUAUGUAGUCCACUAGUGAAAUCUCUAGAAAGACUUAUAUUUAGGAACGGAUGGAGUAGCUAAUAUGUAUUAUAUGCGAUAAAAAUUACAUAUUCAGAGACUACAUCCCCAUAUGAAUCUAAUGAUAUAUUAUUUAUUACAUAUAAUACAUAAUUAAGUAGUUAAAUUAACGACCUAGAACUACAUGCAUGUCCUAUACACUUAGACGAAUGUAGUAUAAAGUUGAGACACCUAUUUUAAGAUAGAGGAAAUAUUUAAGAAGUGGUGAUCCCGAUGUGCAUCACAAACAUGAGAGGAAUAGCGGGUCAAAGAGUUCCGUGGGUAUUUCUGUCUUCUGCAUGCUCUACCACUGCCACACAUGUCAAAUGAUAACAACAAACGAGUAAAUGGAAGAUGGGGUGAUGGCCGGUGAACCUGAGCUGUACAAAUGCAAGUUAUUAUUAAUUCAAGAUUACUGGGUGGAUACAUGAUGAUUGCUUUGCUUCAUCAGAUAGAAAGUGUUUUGCACACAGAGAAGAGAAGCGCAGUACACCACUCACUGUCUGCAGCCCUCGCAUGGUGACCGCCUCCUUCACUGAACUUUACGCUUUCUUUCAGUAGAGGCGUACAGUUUAUUGGCAGAGAAGCGCAGUUUAUUGCAGGUCUAACUAAUGGAAGGAGUGUUGGCUUUUGAACGUGCGUAUGCAGCUGUACAGGCGUGCCUACGCGAUUCUUGCUUCGGCCGGCUAUUUGACGGAACUUGCGUAACUAGCGACACGAAUAAAACUGAUCGAUGGAUUUGAUGGCUAAAGGCCCGUGUCGAGCCUUUGCUUUGUAUUGCUUUUCGUUUUUCUGGUGUUACAAUCAACACCCCUAGGGUGUCUUUUAUACACGUCCACAAGGGACUAUGGAAAUAGACUAGGACUAGGAAUCCUAAUACUACUAGGACUCGGUUUGGCUUUCUUUCCUAAUCCUACAUGAGCAACAUGAUUAACAUCUACAUUCACCUCCUUAAUCUUGUUGCUUGACUUCACUUCUUGCACUCCGACUUUCCUCCUCAUCUCGAUGAACUUCUGUCGACCGAGGGACUUGGUGAAAAUAUCGGCAAGUUGGUCUUUCGUGUUCACAUGUUGAACCUCGAUCAACCCUUCUUCAAUGCACUCCCGGAUAUGGUGGAACCGGGUAUCUAUGUGCUUGCUCCUUUCGUGAUGAACCAGAUUUUUGCACAACGAGAUUGCAGCUUGGUUAUCGAUCUUCAGUGACACCUUCUACACCUCCCGCUUUGCAAGAAUAGCUAGGAGUCUUCUCAGCCACACUGCUUGACAAGCCGCCGUGCUUGCCGCUAUGUAUUCUGCCUCGCAUGAAGACAGUGCCACCACCUUUUGCUUCUGAGAAUUCCAGCUAAUCGGAUUCGGGCCAAGGUAGAAAACCAUGCCCGUUGUGCUCUUUCGGUCAUCAACAUCACCUGCCAUGUCGCUAUCUGAAUAUCCACGAAGGAUCAAUCCUUCCUUUCCCUUUCUGUACGUGCAACCAAGAUUAAUGGUGCCUUUCACAUAGCGCAAGAUUUGAUUGACCGCGCUCAUGUGCUCGGUUGUCGGAUUCUCCAUGAAACAACUCACGAUCCCGACUGAAUAAGCCAAGUCAGGUCGGGUAUGCACCAAAUAUCUUAGGCUGCCCACAACGCUUCGAUACAUUGUGGUGUCCACCGGCGGAUUUGAGCUACGCUUGCUCAACUUGUGACGUUGGUCCAUUGAAACUUGUGUCGCGUAGCAAUCUGACAUGCCACACUUGUCCAAUAACUUGACCGCGUAAGCCGAUUGACAUAGGGAAAUCUCUCCGGAGCUUUGCUUCACUUCGAUGCCCAAGUAAUAGCUGAGUAAUCCCAGAUCACUCAUGCUAAACUUGUUCUUCAUUUGCGCCUUGAAACGUUCAAUUUCUUUUACGCUAUCUCCGGUGAUAAUCAGAUCGUCGACAUAAACUCCAACUAGCAGGUUUGAGCCUUUGGAGUUCUUUGUAUAGACUGCGUGCUCGAGGGGACAUCUCUUGAACCCGAGCGAGACCAGACUUCGGUCUAACUUUGAGUUCCAAGCUCUUGGCGCUUGCUUCAACCCGUAAAGUGCCUUCUUGAGCUUGUAAACUUUCCCUUCUUCGCCUUUCUUCUCGUAGCCGAGGGGUUGUUCCACGUACACUUCUUCUGUGAGAUCACCGUUGAGGAAAGCGGAUUUAACAUCCAUAUGAUGAACCUUCCAAUCCUCUUGUGCUGCCAAAGCUAGGAGCACUCUCACCGUCUCGAUUCGAGCAACCGGUGCAAACACCUCAUCAUAGUCAACUCCUUGACGUUGUACGUAGCCCUUUGCAACGAGUCUUGCCUUGUACUUCACAAUGGCACCCUCCGUGUCCUUCUUUAACUUGUAAACCCACUUCAAACCUAUCGUCUUUUGGUUUGGAGGUCGGGUUACCAAAGUCCACGUGCCAUUGCUCUCAAUUGCCUUCAUCUCCUCAUCCAUGGCGUGCGUCCAGCUAGGACUUUUGCUCGCCUCUACGAAGUUCGCCGGCUCCUCAACUCCGAACAGACAUAGUCCGGAGUACUCAAGCGUAACUGGCUUUGUGUACUUGUAGACUUUCUUGAGGGUCUUGUAGCGACGAGGCCCUGAGGAGUCCGUUGUGGCUUGCGAAGGAGGCGACACAAAUUGUGUCGGUGUUGAUGCACUUGAGGAAGACGGCUGAGACCUUGGUGUGUCAUCGACAUCCGUGUCGUCGGCGUAGUCGUCGUGACCGUGACCAUCAUCUUGAUUGUCGUCGUCACUAUGCGCCUCGUUGUCGAUGUUCUCGUCGAGAUCUCCGCCUGUGUCGUGCGCGGCGUUGUCGUUAUCUCCUUGCGACCUAUGCGCGUCGUUGUCGGUGUCGGCACCAUGAUGAUCACUACCAUUGUGGUCACCUUGGUUGGGCGUCUUGCCAACCACCUGGACAUCCUCCCCUGCAUCAUCAUCAGUUGGAAAUUCAACUGCAAAUAUGUUACUGUUUGGAGCAUCGUCGGCUGCGGCGCUCCAAUUCCACGCUUGGUUUUCUUCAAACACGACGUCGCGUGAAAUCCGUAGACGCUUGGUUUGUGGAUCGUAGAAACGGUAUGCCUUGGUGCCAGAACUGCUCUCGUAUCCGAUGAACACCAUCUUGGUGCUACGAUCGGCAAGCUUUGAGAGAUGUGGCUCCGCCGUCUUCACAUGUGCCACGCACCCGAACGUCCGUAGAUGAGACACAUUCGACUUACGUCCGUAAAUUGCUUCAUACGGAGUCUUGCCGAUCACCGCCUUCGUUGGAGCCCGGUUGAGAAGAUAGACCGCCGUCGAGACAGCUUCUCCCCAAAAAGUCCCCGGCAGGUUCUUGCUGUUGAGUAAACUCCUUGCCAUGUCAACGACGGUUCGAUUGCGCCUUUCAACGACCCCAUUCUGCUGCGGCGUGUAAGGUGCCGUGAGGAACCUCUUUGUGCCAAUCUUCUCGCAGUAGUCGUUGAACUCAUUCGACGUAAACUCUCCGCCGCGAUCUGUCCGUAGAGCGCGAACCUUCAGCUUGUGUUCCAUCUCUGUUGCAGCCUUUAAUUUCUUGAACGCUUCAAACGCCUCAUCUUUAGAUCGUAGGAGAAUGACCCACAUAUAUCUCGAGUAGUCAUCUACCACAAGGAAGAAAUACUUCUUUCCAGCGUGAGUUGCCGGGGUGAUAGGGCCACAUAGAUCACCAUGGAGCAGCUCGAGUGCAUCACUUGCACGAUAGGUAGACUGAGCAGGGAAUGGCCUGCGGUGCUGUUUUCCAACCAAGCACCCGUCACAUACUCGAUCAACAUGGUCGAUAACUGGCAUCCCGGAUACCAUCUGCAUCUUUGACAUCUUCUUCAAGGCGUAGAAGUUAACGUGUCCAAAUCUAGCAUGCCAUAACCACGAAUCAUCAUCACUCUUGGCAAGCCAACACUCCGGUUGAGAUUGAUCAAGGUUGAGGAUAUAGAGCCUAUUCCGUGAGCGAUUAACACGAGCUAGCACGUUUCGGAGGUUGUCGAAGAUCGUCAUCACUCCGCUCUCUAUAUUCACCUUGCAUCCAUUCUCGUCAAGCUUCCCAAUAGAGAUGAUGUUGUUGCGCAGCCCUGGGAUGUAGUACACUCCGGUGAGUAUGCGAUGUUCGCCUGUGAGACCCUCAAAGAGGACAGAUCCUUGCCCGCAAAUCUCCACAGCUGAACCAUCACCGAACUUGACCGAGCCUUCAACAUCGUAUUCCAGCUCGAGGAAUUUCUCCUUGCACCCCGUCAUGUGGUUACUGGCACCCGUGUCGAGAUACCACGACACGUUCUGAUCACUGGAUAACUUUGGUGUCACUUUUUCCUCAUGAAGUAGCACCUUCCGGCUUGGUUUCACAACCACCGUUUCAGCGAGAUCACAAACUUCGGCCAUCAGAAGACCUGGACCUUCGUCUUCCUGCUUUGCCAAAUUUGCCUUGAUCUCCCGCUUGUUAGGCUUUGGACAAUCCUUCGCAAAGUGACCCAUCUUAUUGCAGUUAUAGCACUUGACCUCGGACAAGUCCAAGUUCCGUGGUUUCUGCUCUUUAGAUUGGCCCGCCUUACCACGACCUUGUGGUUUGCCUUUUCCUUUGCCUUUUCCGGUUUGUCCAUCGCCCUUCGUGUUGCUUGAGCCUUCGCCACCGUCACGCCUUCCUUUGCUACUUGGGGCCUCCCAAUCUGCGCGCGAGUACAUGAGUUGGUCACUACCUCCUCCUUUGCCUUUUCGACAGCCACGAGCAUUCUCUUCCCACGUCCGCAGGCGUCCGAUCGCCUCCGUUAUGGUCAUGUCGUCGAUGUCGUAAAGCUGCUCGAGCGUGCCGAUGAUGUACGUGAAUUUAUCAGUCACUGAACUGAAAAACUUCUCCACGAUCUCGGUCUCCUCGAGCUUUGAACCAAGCGCACGGAUCUCUCCCACCAGAGUAGUAAGACGCAUGGCAUAGUCGUUCACCGAUUCAGUUUCCUCCAUCUGCAACUUGUGAAAUUGGCGCUUCAGCACUUGUGCCCUUGCCUUGGUGACGCGAUCUUCUCCGAUCCUCAUCUCCUUGAGUGCGUUCCACGCCUCUCUUGCCAUCUCGAACUCCGCCAAUGUCAUCAGCACGGAAUCCGGCACAGACUGGGCUAUGGCGGCCAUGGCACCUUCGUCGGACUCGUCAUCGACGUCGUCGUCCGUGAUUGCCUGCCACACUCGAAGGGUUCGGAGAAUAAUCUUCAUCUUCACCGCCCACACGCCGUAGUUGGCGUCGGUGAGCAUCGGGUACUGGAUGGGGAUGUUGCGAUGCGCCUGGACGUUAGCGCCGCUCGUUCCUCCACCACUGGUUGCUGACUUGACGCCCUUCUUCACCUUGUCGCCGUUCUUGUUCGCCUUGGCACCGCCGCUGCCGGACUUGACCGACUCAGCGUCGCUGUCCGUCGUCGUAGAUCGUAGAUCGUCGACGCUCUGAUACCAAUUGUUGGCUUUUGAACGUGCGUAUGCAGCUGUACAGGCGUGCCUACGCGAUUCUUGCUUCGGCCGGCUACUUGACGGAACUUGCGUAACUAGCGACACGAAUAAAACUGAUCGAUGGAUUUGAUGGCUAAAGGCCCGUGUCGAGCCUUUGCUUUGUAUUGCUUUUCGUUUUUCUGGUGUUACAAUCAACACCCCUAGGGUGUCUUUUAUACACGUCCACAAGGGACUAUGGAAAUAGACUAGGACUAGGAAUCCUAAUACUACUAGGACUCGGUUUGGCUUUCUUUCCUAAUCCUACAUGAGCAACAUGAUUAACAUCUACAAGGAGGUGUUCUUGAGGUGGUCCGGCGCGUCCUCGAAGGAAUGCUUCCUGGCCAUGGAGAGGAUGGCCUUAUCGGCGACGAUGAAGUAGGCCAUCCCGGCGACGGUGGAAAUGAUGAGUGCCUGGCCAGUCGGGUUCAGGUGCGCCCUCGCCCACGGCAGCAUCC
rnacentral:lncRNA from 1 species